CCUAAUCUAUCCCAAAGUGGCAAAGAAGAAAUUUAAUAUAGUUAUUAUGGUAAAAAAAGGCAUAUAUGAGACACCAAGCUCGGUGACUAUAUGGUUAUUUCGACAAACUAAAAUAGAUAUAAAAUAAAUAACAUAACACACUGGUUGUAAUAAAUUCAGAGUCGUUUCAGACCAUGCACUUUAAUGACUACUCAUGGAUUAAUCCAGGGUGCUUAAUUUGAAGUGUACAUGCACUGGUACGUGGUUACUUAGUACGGCGGGGGGGCCUUGUAGGCCGGUGGCAUAUACGGCGGUGGCUUCUUGUAGACUGGUGGUUUGCACGGUGGAGGUUCCUUAUGAACUGGUGGUGGUUUGCACGGUGGAGGUUCCUUAUGAACUGGUGGUGGUUUGCACGGCGAUGGUUUCUUGUGGUGUUCUCUGUGGUCUCGUUUUUUACAGUAGGGUAAAUACUUGAACCAUGGGUGGUCAGGACAAUUGAUGUGAUAACCAUUCCAGAAGGUCUUUUGCACGCAUGCAGCUCGAGAGAAGGGAACUUUACCGGCGUCAGUGCCUAAAACAUAGACUGAUUGGUCGUUGGAGCUUAGAGAUAGCGUGAAAUUAUCUGGGUGUCGCAAGGUUGGGCAUGGAUUAUUCUUUGACACGGAACGAACAUGAGCAUAGCACUGUCUGUCGACAAGUGUUGUCGGAAGUUGUACACUGAGUUUUCCAUCUCUACCGAACUCACCGAACGCCACCUCCUUGAAAUCCUCCUCGUUGGUUUCAGAUUUGCAAACCACCGCCAACAGAAUCCCUGCAUUUAAUUUACACCCCAUGAAAAACCCCAGAUGCAUGAUAAUACAUUAUUACAUACAUGCACGUAGGCGUCAACGUAACCCUAAACUCUAAUUUAAGUUAAUUAUAAUUAACCUUUGAAAUCGUUGGUUCUGCAAUCUACGCAUUCCGCAACACCCACUAAUUUGGCAACCUUGUCGCUGUCUGUAGGGAUCGCCGAGGCGGCAGUAACGAUCAGCAGCGUCACUGCCAACAAGAAGAACCCGGUCUUCCACAUCGUAAUUAAGUCGUCGGAACCAAGAAGAAGACGGGGGAAGUUUUGGAGUGGAUGAAGGGUUUGGGUUGAUGCGGAAGUAUGUAUAUAGAGGGUACGUACGAACUACGAAGUUGGCAAGGUCCCACCCAUGGCUACGCUCAUUAUUAACCGUUAGGUGAUGAUUCAACUACCCAUCCAAUUAUUAUCCAAUACUAUGUAUCGAUCUAUGGUUAGUUAUAUCAUCGUGAAAAUUAAAUGGAAAUUACAAACAGAAUAAAAUUAUUGUGAUCGGUUUAACUAAUUUAUAUGCAAAAUUAGAUGUAUUUAAUCGAUAUUAAUUAAUUUGUUUCAGCUUUUACUCAUUGGAUGGGUAAAUCAGGAUGAUGAAUUGAUAAGUGUGCAGUGAGCCAGUAAUGAUCGGAAUAAACCUAACUUGUUUCACUCAUUAAUAUAUGCUUUGUUUUUUGAAUUUUUUCUCUUAAUUUCCUCCCAUAAAUGCAAAGACAAUUGCCAGUGACAAAUUGCUACAAUGGAUGGAGAUAAGGGACCAUAUAUACUCAUACCAUGAUGGGCGUUUGGUCAUUUCGGGCUGUCAAAGCUUAAAAUCAGCCAUGGAUUAAUUCGAUUCCUCUCCAGUUGUACCUAUUUAUUACAAUCCAGAAUAUCGCCAUUCAUCAUCAUUCUGUAAUGCUUUGGCAUCUAUGUGUGUAUGUACAGUUUAUUUUUCACCUAUCUUUGUUUUGCAUAAUCAAUGAUCCAUCUUAAUUAGCUAUCUAUCUAUCUAUCAAUUCAAUUUGCUCGUUCGUUAACACUUUCAGAGUGGAUUUAAUUACAAAUGUAAAUCUACUAAUUGAGAAUUAAAAAAAAAAUUGAAUUAGGCUGACAAAGUUCAAACAAAAUUGAAUUAGGUUUUUCUUCCCAACUCAUAUACUAAAAGCUAGUACUUUAUAUAAAAAUACGUAAGAUUAAUAUGAUCGAGAUAGGGUACAUAGAGUAAAAAAAUAUAAAAUGAAAACAAUAUAGGUAAACUUAAUUUAGAAUUGGGAAAAAGUAGCAUGUUUAUUCUUCUUUUUUUACAUUUUAAAAUUAAUAAAUUGUCAACUGAUUUCAAAUUCAAAAAAAAAAAAAAUAGAAUUAUAGAAGUAGAUAAUUUAUGAAUCACUAAAAAUGAAAUGAUCGAAUGUUUCUUGUUGUACUUUGCAAUAUAUAUUUAGAGAGUUAAUUAACUGCUGGUCGUUGACAUUAAACUCAUCUUAAUUAAAGCAUGAAAAACAAUACAAAUCUCUAAUUAUUACUUAUUAGAGUGGAUGAAUGAUCAUUUAAUUUUGAUCACAUCACCUUGAUUAAAGUCACUCAUUAAUAUAAUUGACUAAUGGGUAAUUAAUCUUACAAUGUCUUGCAUUUCCGUUCGCCUAAAAAUAUAAAAUCAUUAUUAAUAAUAAAAUUAAUUAAUAGUCAAUUAAUCGCCUAAAAUUCAGAUAUGCGGAAGUCAAUUUAUAUUUAUUCGGGUGUCUGGAUAUCCAGAUCUGGAAUUUUUAAACGGAUUCGGAUUUUAACGGUGGAUUUUCCAGAUAUCCGAAUUCGUCCGAAUAAAAUCCGGAUAUCAAUUUAGAUAUCCGAAUCUGAAUAGUCAUAUACUCAUAUUCAAAAAUGCAGAUUUCGAUAUACCAUUUACAAGUUUAAGAGAGAUACCAUCCGUUAUGAAAAAAAAAUUCAGCCCAAACAUACAUCUCUUGCGGGCCUGCGGCAAAGUGUAUAUAUAUUAGUUGGAUUAUGGAAUAUGGGCCAUCUCAACCAUUAAAUUAUUUGAAACAAGGCCCAUUGGACUUAUUUAGGAUUAAAAUAGCACAAGUAAUAUCAGUUGGGAAUUGGGAUCCAGAUUGUGUAUCGGUAAACAUGUACCGCUAAACAUGUACCGCUGUAUGCCUGUACGCGUGUAUUAAUAUUUAAUAAUAUAGUUGACGCAUGAUUUAAAGAUUUUACCAAGCAAACAUUCAUUCAUCAAUAAUUUAAUCAUGAACAGGAAUUAAAUAAUGUUUUGUAGAUGUAAUUUACGCCUAAUGAAUAAGAAAGAGUUGAAGCAAGAGCAAGUUGAAAAUAAAAUGGUUAUUUUCGUUUACGACCCUCAAACAUUGGGGGUAUUUACAAUAAUGUAAAUAUGUAAUGGUUAUUUUUAGACCAUAGAUGAUAAUGACUACACGUAGUUGUUGACCCAUUCAUUGAUUGGGGUUGCUGGUUGCACACCUGGGCGGUGGCCGGUGGGUGGGAUUGUGGAAAAUGAGCAUUCAAUCCUGAUCGUGCGAUUACGAUCGUACAGCUAAAACAUCGAGUGGGAUUCUUGAAUUUCCUGUCAUAUUCAAGUAAUAGCAGAAUAUACGGGUUGAAACAAAUGGAAUCAUGACACGUCAUUUUAUUUUAUUUUAUCCGGUCAACAUUUGUUAUUAAAUAAAAGGCAAAUCAAACAAAAGUCAAAAAUAAACGCAAACAGUAGAAGACUGAUUCAAACUUAAAGACUUUCCACCCCCUUUUCAGUAGUGCCCUCACCCGCGUUUGCACCUUUUCAUACUUGUUUAUCUUUGUCCCCGUCGCUGGAGAAGAAGGGUUGGAAGAUGGGCUGCUGUAUUUCGAGAAGAACCCAGUUCUUAGAAGCUGACAAAGACGUGGUUUUCCCUCAGAAAAGAGGAGGAAGACGAUAUGGGCAUGACAAUCAUCUGGUGGUGAGUGAUCAGGCCUGCAAAGAGCAUAACACCGACGAGCUUGCUUUGAUCGAUCAUGGAAAGCCCGGAUCGGCAAGGGUAGGGUUUUGUUUUCUUCUUCUUCUGUGUUUAUUUAUUUCUAUUCUUACUGGGUUCUGACUAUAUAUGUCCACUUUCAUCAAUUAUCAUCACGAACAGCAGCUGGGAGUUUGUUCGUUUGGUUUUAUUUUGGAAUUGGGUAUAAUUUUUUUUUUAAUCUUCAAGGUUACAGAAAGCUGGCGUAUAGGAAAUCUGAAUUUCGUUAUCUUUAUUGUGAUUACAGAGUAUUGUUUAUAGUUGAUUGAGAUUACAGGAAUUGCCAACUAAUCUAAUUGCUAACUAAUCUCUAACUGUCUGUUAGUUAUUGUUAACUAACUAUCCAGUCUUGUAGACUCACGUGAGUGGUCUAACACAAAACUAUCUAGUCUUAUUUAUUUCUAUUCUUACUGGGUUGUGGCUAUAUAUGUCCACUUUCAUCAAUUAUCAUCACAAACAACAGCUGGGAGUUUGUUCGUUUGGUUUUAUUUCGGAAUUGGGUAUAAUUUUUUUUUUAAUCUUCAAGGUUACAGAAACCUCGUCGAUUCUAGGGAGAGCUGGCGUUUUUGGUCUGGACAAAGCUGUGGAUGUCUUGGACACACUUGGUAGUAGUAUUACCAGCAUUAAUUUCACACAAAACUCUGGAUUUUUAAAUGGAGUUGCAUAUAGAGGGAACAAACUAGUGUCAAUUUUAGCAUUUGAGUUUGCAAAUACAAUUGGCAAAGCUAAAAAUCUUAUGCAAUCCCUAUCGGUGAACAACAUCCGCAUCUUGAAGACCGAAAUUCUUCCGUCAGAAGGCAUUCAACGUCUCGUAUCCAAGGAUCCCAAGGAAUUACUAACCAUUGCCGCUGCCGACAAACUGUGAGUUGCUGUUUUUUUGGUGUUUUUGAGAAAACUAGAUGAUUAUGAUGAUCAGUGUUUUGUUUCAUUUAACAGAGACGAGUUUCGUAUGUUUUCGGUAGAAGUCGGUAGAUUCGGGGAUAUGUGUAAAGAUCCUCAGUGGCAUAACUUGGGUCGAUAUUUUGAAAAGUAAGAAGGUAGUCUGAGAUCAUCAUUUUAUUUUCAAAUACUAAGAUGAGAUUUUUUUUUUUCCAUAAUGAAUUUGCCAUUCAUAUAUAAUGCAGAUUAGAUUCUGAUCCAACACCAAGAGAAAAGUUAAAACAAGUUGCAGAGAAAACCAUGGAACAACUCAUCAUUUUAAGCCAGAAUACCUCGGUAAGUACUAAGUAGUUCUCCAUGGAAAGAGAGUAAUGUCUUCUUCUUUACCACCGGGAUUUGGCCUACAACAUCUGUUUUUUUACCAGGAACUUUAUCACGAAUUGCACGAACUUGACAGAUUAGAGCAAGAUUCUAAAUUGAGGAUUAAGGAGGUGGAAUCUCUUCCGAGUAGUCAAAAAGAAGAGUGUUCAUUUGAUCUGCAGAGUGAUUUGAAACAACAGAAAAAGAUUGUGAAGAAUUUGAAAAAGAAAUCACUUUGGUCUAAGACCUUGGAAGAGGUAGACUAUAGAUUUGUUAUUGAGAUUUUCCUAAUGCCCAAAUGAAUUUUUAUGUUCGAUUGAUGUUCAUGUGGAAAUUCUUUUGAUUUUAGGUUGUAGAAAAACUGGUCGAAAUUGUUGUCUUCCUACAUAGAGAGAUUUUGUAUGCAUUUGAUCUCAGCAGUAGCAAUUUCAUCGAUGAUGAGGUAAAUCAGAAUCUGCGGAGAUUGGGUUAUUGCGGUCUCUCACUACACUAUGCUAAUAUCAUCAACAAGAUCGAUAGUAUUGUAAGUUUCAACUAUUUUUCGAUUUCUCUGACAAAGUUAUAUCAUCAAUAAAUAUUGGCCGGAAACUUAUGUCCGUAUAUUAUCAGGUGUCUCGGCCAAUGGCUCUACCUCCAAACACAAGGAACAUGUUGUAUCGUGGUUUGCCAGUAGGUGUAAAAGCUUCUCUUCGUUCACGUCUACUCUCAUUUCAUGUUGACAACGAUGAUGAUGAUGAAAGGGUAGGUAUACACACACGGGCAUUCCCUCUGUUUUUUAAUGUUUUUUCCCUUCCUAAUAACUUUGGUUAUUUCAAAAAUCUGUAGCUUUCUGUUUCAAAUAUCAAAGCUCAAAUGCAGAAAAUUCUUCGCUGGAUAUUUCCGAUGGCCGAGAACACGAUAAGGUAAUCAUCUCAUUAAUUGUUUUCUUCAUCAUCGUAUUUUUUCUUAUACUUUUUUCCGGUCUGAAAUUUUCAGAGCACAGCAAGGAUUUGGUUGGGUUGGAGAAUGGGCAAACAAAAGGUUUGCGUCACUUGCAUUUUUUUAAAAAUGAGAAAACCGGCAAGCAAUAUAAUUCUAUGAAUAAAUGUUUUUCAGCUUUGAGGAAAUUGACAUGAAGUCCGAGGAACAGAACAGUAUGUCCCGUAUCGAAACACUACAUCACGCCGACAAGGAGAAAACCGAAGAAUACAUACUAGAACUAGCUGUUUAUCUUCAUCACCUCAUCGACCAAGUGAAGAACAAAGGAUAUGGAUUCUAUGCAGGGAGCACCGUCGAAAAAUCCGUCUUGUCAUCACCAGAAAGCACCAAAUCACUCCUGAUUUCCAGAGAAGAAACUCAGCUUCUAGAAGCUGUUGAAUACAUCAAAGAACCUGUUCUGGUAAGAAGUAAAAGUGUCGAUUUUAGUGAUCAAACAACGGACAUGUUAAUGCAGAAAACCCGCCUUAAGAUUAGCCGGAGUGUUGGUAGUUCUCCAAUGAGAGAGUUCAGAGAAAGAACUCUAUCUAUGUUACUUCGAUUCGAAAGGAGAAAUAUUUUGGAUGUCAUUGAUGGAGUACAUUUUCGAUGACUUUUUUUAUCUUGUUUGCUCUUAUUUUUUAUGUACAUCAUCAUCUCUGACUCGAUUGUUCUUCACUUCUUGUUCAUACUUCAUAGAUAGAUCAUAGAUAUGCACUGUAAUUCUAAGCUUGUGAAUAUAUAAAAUAAAUUGAUUGUAACUCGUAACCUGAAUCAUCCAGUCAUUGAAAAUUCUAUGAUAGAAUGCGGCUGGAUCCUUAUAUCUUCAAUAUUCGAACCCAUGGAAUUGGGUAUCAGAUCUUGUAUGUCCAUGAAUUCAAAUUAGAGUUUAAUGUAUAUCUGCCACGUGCCUAGUGUAUAUAUAUAUAUUGGGCGUAUUUCAGACGUACUUUAAAUGUGCCUCUGUGCGUUAUCAAAUCGUUUCCAUUAAUAUUUAAUUCAAUAAUUAAAAUAAUAUACUACACAAGACAUUAAUACAUGUAUGAUGCAAAAGAAUGUAUUGUACAACGUAAAGUCGAUCUAAUAAACAUGAUUAAUUUGACGUAUUUCAACGUCGAGACACCUAAUAAUUACUCUAUAUAUAUUACAGUAUGCAUUAGAUUUAGACUUAUAUUUUUUGAUUUUUUCUUUAUUUUCACCUCAUAGUUUUCUUUGUUUUAUAGUAUUUGACCUUGUUACUACAAUCCACUAAGAUCCAUCUCUUCCACAAGGGGGAAUCGCUCUCAUUGCAAUGUCUAUUGUUAAUAAUGAUAUUUCAACUAUACACAUACAUGAUCAGAAACACAAGAAGAUUAGAUCAGUUGGUCACGGUAAUUAUUAAUUAGGUUGCAGAUGAUCAAAAUUUUAUUCUCGUCAUGUACGUAAUUUUUAUUUAAUUUUCACUGCUACUAUUUUUUUUUUUAAAUAAGUUGUUUUAUAUAUUAAAAAAUUAAAGUCUACAGAAGUUCAACACACAAAAAUAAUUAAUUUAAAUAUAGUUAUACUUACUUUCUAUUUACCUUUUAUCUAAAAAGACGGGUUUGCCCGACAGUUAAUCAAUCUUAACUUCCUUCUUUCACUCUGUUGUGGAUCAGCAACUGAAAAACAUCACAUUGAUGCAAUAACCUCUCUUUCGCGUUCUUCUUGUGUGACUUUUUAAAUUUAUUUUCUUUGAAACCGAUUUCCGUCGAUCUGAUGCAUUCCCUUAUGAUCAUUUCCUACGAGGUUGAGAUUCCUUCAUGGUGACGUUAGUUUCUCUCCUUCCAUAUGUGAAACAGUACGAAACCAAACAUUAUUGUCCAAUGUAAUCCCCAGUACUUUGAUCCAGGAGUGAUUUUCUUAAUUUCAUGAGCCAUGAUUUCAAAAUCCUCAAUGUCUUGUGUAUUCAUCAAUCCACCCGUUGUAUGAAAGCCCUCCUUUAGCAUUCACCUCGCGAACCUGCAUUUGAAAAAAUCAUGAGAAUUGCCUCAGGUUUUUCACCGCAUAAUACAUAAUCUUCUGCCACACUCAUUCCUCUACGUCUCAGUCUAUCCCUUGUUGCUAUGCUGCCCCUCCGUUUGUCUCCCUUAGUGUAUCUAUUGCAUUUGCAAAUGAUGGCCGACUGCCAUCCCUCUUCCACUGAACUGUUCGUUUUGAUGUACAAUCCACACAUUUGUUUAUGUUAUUUUCACGUUGUCGCAAGACCUCCCUCCACAUGGCCGAAUGAUUAUAGCGUCUCGAGAUAUUAUUUAAGGCUUCUUCUUUGAUGUCACUACAAGAAAACAGGGCUACGUUUCGUUUUAAGUAUUUUAACAAAUUUAAGUCAUAUUAUUUAUUUUUAUUUUUAUAGGCUAAUUAUAAUGAGCUCCAAAGAAAUGCUAUGGAAGCCGCUAGUGUUGAGAUCAACUUAUCAAAUGGAUCACACACUUCCUGAUAAUUUAGAAUUAUGGGUGAAAAUUACUGAGGGAAAAAAAAGGUUGUGUGCUUGGAACCAAAGCAAGUGAUCCAAUACCAUUACCAAAUCCUACGUACUAAUAUGACGACUUCACAUAACACAAACGUCAGAUUUUAUAAAAAUUCAACGACAAAAAAAUAAAGAAGAGUUUGAUCUAGCAGUCCAAGAAAUCAUUCGAAAACAAAUGCCGAAUAUACUUAAGGAAGUAAGGGGAAGACUUACGUUGAAAGACGAUUGAGGUAAUUAGCAUUUAUAUAUAUAUCAUUCAUAUUUUCUUGGUAAUUUCAAUUUUUUUUCAUUAGGGUCAGUCGAGCCAAGGACACGACAACAUAAUCACGUCUAUUACAAGAGAUUCGAAUGUUGAAAAUGUUGGCAAAAGUGCGACUAAUAGCGUGACUGGCACCAACAAAUAGGUUUCUUUUUUUUUAUAUUUGGUUUGGUUUUCUUUUGAAUGACAUUAAUUGUAUGAAUUGGUUAUAUACAUUUUUUGAAUGGUAUGGAAUUGAAUUGAAUGGCAUGAUUGGUUAUAUGGAAUUUGUAUGGAUAUUUUUGUAUGUUUGAAUGAAAUUUCCAUGUUGUAUGAAUGAAAUUUGUAUAAAAUUUAUACAUUUGAAUGAAAAUUAUAUGUUUGAAUGAAAUUUUCAGGUUAUAUGAAUGUGUAAGACCUUACAAUAGGCGUCUUCUAACAUUUAAAUAUUUCCUGAAAUUAGCCACUGCCUUUUUCCAUUUAUCCACUGAUUUUGGUCGUGACCUUUCACUUUUCUCUCUGUUUCAAGAAUUUAGCCACGGUCAAUAAAAAAUUAGCCACUGAUUUUGGCUGUGACCCUUCUUUUUUCUCUCUAUUUCAAGAAUUUAAUCACGACCAAUAAAAAAUUAGCCACUGAUUUUGGCCGUGACCUUUCAAAAAUUUAGUCACGGCCAAUAAAAGAUUAGCCACUGAUUUAUGCCGUGACCCUUCAUUCCACAAAAAAUAGCCACGGCCAAAAAAAUUAGCCACUGAAUUAUGCCGUGGCUAAUUUUUUUAAAAAAUUUACCUGAUCAUCGAUUACCAAAAUUAAAUGAUCGUAGUUAAUUUAGUGGCCAAAAAUCAUUUCCGUGACAAAAAAUCAGUAGCCACCAGACCUACAGCCACGACGCCUCUCGUGGCUAAAUCAAUUUAGCCAGUGAUCUUGGUCGUGAUUGUUUCCCUGUUUUCUUGUAGUGUGUCCCUUAUUUUCAUCCAAUCCCCCCCAUAUGCCCUCGUCCAUCCACAACCUGCAUAGUUUGUCAACUGUUGCGGGCACUUGAAUGAUUGGAAGUCCUUUACCCCUAUGCCACCUUUUCGGGUCGAUGUUUAAUCAUCAUUGACCAAACGACUUCCUUCUGGUGUCCCCCAUAUGAACCUGUAAGCUAGGGAUUUUAUUGUUUGGAUUGUAACCUGCGGAACUCUACUAGUUUGCAUCUCAAAUAUCCAAAUUUUCCUUGGAAGACCUAAUCCACUAAUUGUACUCUUCCCAUGUACAAUAAUUUUUUUUUGUUCCAUCUUGUUAGAAUGUCAUUAGAUCCGCUAUCAAAAGAUCACAAUUCCUAUUUGAAAUGGACUUUUCGGUGAGUGGUACUCCCAGGUAUUUUAGCGGCAGCUGUUUUUGUUAAAAUUCUAGUAUCGCAGUUAGAGUCGCUCCAUCUCUUACUCUCUUCGAGAAAACUACGUCGAGCUCUUUUCCUUAUUAAUUUGGAGUCUCGAGAAAAAUGAAAAUUCCUCUAGUAUAUCAUUCAAUUUGGUUAAGGUUUUCGUCGAUGAUCGGUAGAAGAAAACGAUAUCGUCUGCAAAGACUAAAUGACUUUCUAUCAGUAUAUCUCUCGAAGUGUAUAAUUCCAAUUCCCGAUCAACUACUUUCUAUCAAUAUAAAUUUUCACUCCUAUAUAAUCUAUAUGAUCGAUGAUAUAUUAUUUUGUUCUGACAUGUCAUCAAAGGUUUUUUUUUUUACAUGUAGAAUGUUGACCCGUUAUCAAAAAAAAAGUAUAACAAUUGGCCAAUUUAUUAGAUCGACUCAAAACCGAUCUGAGAAUUGUGAUUGAAGAUGCACCGGACUCCUCAAACAUUAAUUAGGCCUUCUUGUCACAAGUAGAACGAACACAAGGACGACAAUAUUGUCUCAAUGUUACAACAUGAUCAGGAAUUUUAAUAAUAACUAAAAUCAGUUGACAAAUGAUUAGACGACCAAUUAAUGAACAUGCAUGCAUGCAUGCAUGCAUACGUAAGUACAAGUUAAGUAAUUGGGUUAGUUAGAGUCAAAGACAACAAAGACUUAUUUUGAUCUGCUCCUCUUUCUUCCUCCUAAUCCAUUGAUGAAGUCUCUAUAAAUAUUAUUCUCAUCUUCUUCCAAUAUAUAAUAUUCCAAUUCAUUCCAUUCCAUUUCAUCGAUUGAUCCGAUUCUUUAGUACAUCAUCCACCCGAUCGACCAUCCAUCAAAAUUUGAUAAAAAUGGAGUCUGCAACUUUGAUGUACUGCUGUUUCUUUUUCCUCUUCCUCUCACUGACCACCAGGGCGGAGGCGGAGGCGGACGCGGCAGUGGGGUCGAUAGAGAGAACCAUUAAGCAGCAAAUCCUGGCUACUAUCGAACCCAAUUCGUAUGAAACUGUCCCCAAACCCAUCUUGACUUCUUCACUGGGAAACUACGCUGUGUACUUCCUCCGCCGUCCCACCGUUCCCGGUGCUGGGGGAUUCGGCGGUGACUUCUGCUAUAUUGAGGUGCAAGACACCAGAACGCAUCAAUCCGUAUGGGAGUCGGAGUGCAAUCCGAUAACCACUGUCAAUACUUGCUCUCUAGUGUUCUCCGACCAGGGGUUGGAGGUGUUCGAUGGGAGUCGAUCGGCAUGGGACACUGGAGUCGACGCUGAUAAUCCUUUGCAGACUUUGGAGCUUGUCGAAGAGGGAGACAUGAGGAUCAGAGAUCAAAGUGGCGAGUUGGUGUGGAAAGCUAGCGACGAUCCACGUAGCAACCAGGUAUGAUUGUAAGAUUGUACCGUAGUAUGAAUAAUGAUCGAAUUGAUGUAAUUUCAAUUCCCCAACGUAGUCACGUUACUAACUAUCAUGUGUUUGCUCUCUAUCAGGAGUGUGGCUCACUUGGAUCACCAGGCUUGGCUAAUGUUCUACCUCCAUUCGCCUCUCCAGUUGACACCGGUAGACAGAAUAACUUUGGAUCACCGGUAACCUUUGGCGGAAAUACACAGCAGCAAUUUCAGCCAAAGCCGGGUGUCGGCAGCUAUGGUGGACAGCCUCUUGUUGACAGCACUCCGUUCGACAGUGGAAAUUCCAAGGUUGUUGCCAACAUGGCUAAGAUUGUAUUGUUGGCCAUGGGGAUCAAUGAGCUUCUCUUUUAAUUCUGGGUGUUGUUAGUUAACUGUAAUGUAACUGCGACAUAGACACUGCACUUGUGUUGUUUGUUUGCUUAAAUUCUGGUGAUUUGUGUUUUUAUACUAUUACAAUUUACAAUACAACGUAAUUUAUUGAUGUAAACAGAAAAUAAUUAAAUGUCAUGAAUUAUUAUUAUAUAUAGAUCGAGAGCAUGUAUGUAUUUUAUGUUUCAAAAUAAAUAAAUUAAAUUAAAUUGAGUUUUUGAUGUAGAUAUUCAAAUUACAGGAUUCGCAAUCAACUGCACACAGUAACUAAUGAGUAAGUCACUCUCUAACUAAUGCUAUCUAUGUUAAUUAAAGACUUAAACUGGCCGGAGUGCGUCGUCGCCUUCAUGGUUUUCAUCCAAAUUCAUGGUUUACAUCUACUGGCAUCCUUUCAUUACUGCAGUAAAAAGCGUAAUUAGUGAGAAGGGAUGCACAUUUGAAUAAAAUAUUGAAAUAUCGCAACUCAAAAAAAUGGAGCUAAAUAUGAAAAUAAAUGCAGUAUAGAUAUCGAUCAAAUUUAAGUUCAAGAAUGAAUGUAAAUUUAAGAGUAUAAUUAAGCUUUACAGGAAAACUUCAGCUCAAUUCUAGCCUCUAUAUAUUUUAAUCAAGUGCACCAUAAAAAAAAAAGCUAGAGCCUUAAAUCCUUAAUGAAUGAUUAAGGUAGGGGUGAAAAGUUACUUAGAAAAUGCAUGGACAUUAAAGUGUUCUGUGAGCAAAAUCACUGUCACUAACCUUUGGAGAAGUUCUUAUUGACGAUUUGAUAACUUUAUAUCAACUUCUUCACCAUGGGAACUGCAAUUUUCCAUCAUGUUUUUUCCAACAUCAUCGGUCUCUCGACAUUCUUCUGUUUUGUCAUUCUUCUGAAAUAAAUUUGCCGAACUCGCUACAAUAUUCCUGUUAUGAUCCUUAUUUGAAAACUGCAUUGCUGCAGCUCGUGCACCAGCUAUGGCCGCAGUAAGACUAGACGAUCCUUCAAUUCUUGAUGAUUUUGAGACGGCACUGGAAUUUUGAGGGUUGGACAAUGGGAACUUUACUGGUAAAGGACCUUGGACUGGAUAAAGGCCUCUAACAGCUGCUUCAAAAACCUAUAGGAUAUGGCACCAAAAUAUCGGUACAGAAGAUUAAGCUCAAUUUUUGUAUAUUAUGUUUUGACUUAAAAAAUCAAUACCUUAUUUUCCAAGUUAUAAACACGUUGAUAUCCCCUCAUCUCAAAGGGUACCACCAAUUUCUACAUUAUUUGAUAAAUUACAUUUAAAACCAUUGUAAAAAUGCAAGAUUUGAUAAAAAAGUUCAUUAGUUGGAAAAUGAAAAAUCAUUAAGUUGCCAAUUUGGAAGUGUACUAAGACAUGAUAUUGAAAGGGGGGGGGGAAGAGAAUUAGAAGCAUACCUUUGGGUUCUCACAGAGCCAGCAGAACUUCGUCUGACCUUCCAAUCUUACCUAUAAAUUAUUUACUAUUAUCAAAAUGCAAAAGAUAUACAGAAAGACAGACCAGACCAACAUUAUUUGAUACCAAACAAGUAUGCAACAAGAGAAUAUGUCCCUACCGAUUCAGGCACAUCCUCCCAGCAAACAAGCUCUUCACAUGUCACACAACCAACUAUAUCAACACAUCCUAGAGGAGUAGAGGUAGAAAAGUUCAUUCAAAUGUUCAAUAAUAAUUUAACAAACAAUCCAUUCAAGCAAAGUAAAGACUUGAAUUAACGCAAAUGAUUCAAGAGUGAAUGAAAAUAUCAACUGAAAUUGAAAUCGACAACAAAAAAGAAGAUUCAAUCUUAAAGCAUAUCAUUUAAAUAAAAAACAUAACAUCUGCAAAUAGAUUAACUGAUGUUUAAAAUGUCAGAUUUCAAAAAUCACUAACAAAUUUAUGAAUUUUCUCAAAAACGGCCUAAGAAUUCCAAUCUUAGAAUAAGUUUGCAAACAGUGUUUGGUGUUUGACUAAUAUGAGAAACAAUUAGUCAAUCAGAUGCUAUACUUCAAAUAGAAAUGAAAACACUCAAAAUAUGAGAGAUUUAUCGUGCACCUAAGAGUCGUGAAACAGGAUAAUGCUCUGGAAAUUUGAGAUCGGUGAUCCCAUUCAAACUAUAAAUUUCACUGUAGAAAUUUUCCAUUGCUUUAAUUGUUUCAGGUUCAGGAUGUUUUCCAGCAGCAUGUAUCCAAAGACGCCCUGAAAAGAUUUUACCAAAUCAUCAUACAAAAAUAGAAAUCCCCAAAAACACAAACCCUAAACACCGGCAUCAUAAAGAAGUGAAAUUCAAACUAUACACAGUAUACGAUAUAGCAAAUCCCAUAAAAGAAAUAACCAUUUACAAAACUAGGUUCUUUAAACACCUGUAAUAGGAGCUGGCCAGGAUCGUCCCUCGAUCCUUUUGAUGCCUUGAAGAAGCAAUGAUGCCCAAGGCUGAUGCAUCGUUAUACAUGGAUUCCGAAGAACACCCCUUCCAUGGUUGCCAUCACCUCUGUUCCUCCCAUUCAUCUCUCCAGUUCUUCUCAUUUUAAUAUUUACUGCACGGCUAAGCGAAUCAGCGAUGAUUCAAUAGAAACUGGUUUAGUCCUUUUUCAUGAUUAUUGAUUUAUUGUUAUUGAAUCAUUGAUUAUGAAAUAGAACUAAAAAUAAUAAAAUCCUAUAAAUAGUUAAAUAGAUUUAUUUAAAGGGUCAUAAUUCACAAAGUCACAACAGUAAAUUAGGAUCCAUUUAUAAUAGUAAAUAAAAGAAAUAUUUUCUUACUAAAUUUCACAUAUCUUUUUGACAUUUUGCAAAAAUAUUUAGAAUUGAUUACUUUUGGUCGACCUACCAAUUACUUGGGAAUUUCGUUUAGGGUUUACUAAUUUAUAAUGAAAUCAGAGUUUAAAUAAUUUGAUAUAAACAAACCAUCUGCAGCUUGAAGGUUAAAACUUAAAAUCCCUAAAACAGAAAAUUAGAAAAACCCAAAAUCCAAAUUCCCCCAUCUCCUCGUUUUUUAUUUUUCCUCUAAGUCUCCACUUUCGUUCUCUACUGCUCUUCGCCCCUCCCAUUUUCUACUUUUUGUCUUCCUUUCUUCACCUAUUCUUCCCUAUCAGACUAGCUAUUUCAUUUUAGUUCUAACAGACGGUUCUAAUUUUCUACCGGAGAUUAGUUAUUGUUCAAAGUACAAGCAAUCAGUUUCAAACAAGGUUAUUAAAUUUUUUUCAGACAAGGUUAUUAAAUUUUAGAUUUAUGACUGCUGUUACUCAUUUUGAUUGUUAUGUUCUUAUUAUUCGUUUACAAAUUAAAAGAUUGUUACUUUUUUUCUAUUUUUUUACUGUCACUUAUGAAUUAUGAUCAUUCACUUAUUGUUUUUAUGCAAUAUGCAUACAAUUGUUUUCAGAAAUUCCUUUCUGAUCGAGUGAUUGUUAUCAAUUUGAGCAUCUCCUCAAUUUCAAUAUUAUUCUAGGUAUGUUGAUUUAAUUUUGGUAUUUAUAAUAAAAUUAUGCCAAGUAUAGAGUUGGCGAUCGAUUAGUUGUUUGAAAGGAUGACUGUUUUAUAGGAUUUAUUUGAAAUACAUUGAUAUUUCAAACUUCUCAUUGAUAGGUGGAAGCUCAAAUCCUAGUUCCUGUAAUUUCUCAGACUAUAUUUUUCUCUCAAUUAUUUUAAUAAUUGCAAACAUUAUGCCUUUUUGUUUCUUUUUUUGUUAGUGGAUUGUAUUAUCCAAAAAUAAAAGACGUACUUGAAUGUUUGAUUCGGUGCUAUGUCUGCUGUGUGUUUCUUAUUACACUGUUAUUUUAUUAGUCGGAUUAUUUAAAUUUAUCUCUUAGAUCAUUGUCACUCCCAUAAGUCCUCUCUCAACUACGGGAAGAGAAAGGGAAGAAGACGAUGGCCAUCGUGAAAAUCUCCCAUAUUUAUAUUUAAUGCAUUAGAUUUCUUUGAUUUAAUCUGAUAGGUGAAAAUAGAAGAGGGCAGGAAUGGAUUCUGUUGUUUUGGACGACAUCAUCCGGCGGUUGCUGGAAGCAAGGAAGAGUAGAUCGGGGAAACCAGUGCAGCUUUCUGAAGAAGAGAUAAUACAGAUUUGUCUUGCUUCUAAGGAUAUUUUCAUGCAUCAGCCCAAUCUACUCGAACUCAAUGCGCCUAUGAAAAUCUGCGGUGACCCUUUUUUUCUCAUAUAAUUAUUUGAUAUUCUUCACAACUCAUUUGUUAUAUAAUUCUUCAUUUGAUAUUUUCCAUCCAUUAGGUUAUGAGCUAAUUCUACCAUUUCCUCGUCAUCCACUGAACCGUGUUAUUUUAAUAAUGAUCGAAGUAACUGGUUUUAAAUUCAGUUGAUACAAUUUCAGACUCAGUUUUUGUUUUGCAAAAAAUUUCAGACUCAGUUUGCAUGUAUGUAACUUACUAACUUGACAGAUUAUUUUUGUUUUAUUACGACAGGUGAUAUUCAUGGACAGUAUUCUGAUCUUCUCAGGCUUUUUGAAUAUGGUGGGUUUCCACCUGCAGCCAAUUAUCUAUUCUUAGGGGAUUACGUUGAUCGAGGAAAACAGAGCUUGGAGUCUAUAUGUUUGCUUCUAGCUUUUAAGAUCAAAUACCCAAAUAACUUUUUCCUUCUUAGAGGGAAUCAUGAAUGUGCAUCUAUCAAUCGGAUUUAUGGGUUUUAUGAUGAAUGCAAAAGAAGAUACAACGUAAAGUUAUGGAAAUCUUUCACAGAUUGUUUUAAUUGUUUGCCUGUGGCUGCUUUGAUUGAUGAGAAGAUUCUCUGCAUGCAUGGAGGUCUUUCUCCAGAUUUGCAUAAUUUGGAUCAAAUAAGGAAUCUAUUACGUCCUACCGAUGUGCCAGACUCAGGAUUCCUUUGUGAUCUUCUUUGGUCGGAUCCUAGCAAAGAUGUUGAAGCAUGGGGAAUGAAUGAUAGGGGCGUCUCUUAUACCUUUGGUUCUAGUACUGUCGAUAAGUUCCUUGAGAAGCAUGAUCUAGACCUUGUAUGUCGUGCUCAUCAGGUUUGAGGCAGCAACCUUCUUAAUUAUGUGAUUAUUAUUAUUAUCUCAUAUAUCUGUGUAAUUUUUAUUCUUGAGAGAAUAUAAUUUGUAUAUUUUCCGCAGGUUGUAGAAGAUGGCUAUGAGUUCUUUGCAGAAAGAAAACUUGUUACGAUAUUCUCUGCUCCCAAUUAUUGUGGGGAAUUUGAUAAUGCCGGUGCUAUGAUGAGUAUAGAUGAUAGUCUGAUGUGCUCGUUUCAAAUUCUGAAACCUUCCGAAAAGAAACUAAGGCAUGAUUUUGGAGGCACAACAACAUGCACAACUGGAACACCUCCGCUGAGCUUCAAGGUACAAUGAACUUGAUUAUUUCCACCCUAAUCUUCAUCAUCUGUAUUUUGUUGUUUUUUCUAAUAAGUAAUAACUUUGACACAUUUUGAUCUCAGUCUUUCGUUGGUCAAUAGUGUAAGGAUUGGUGAUGAAGUAUGUUAGGAGCCAAAGCUUGUUGAUAAAUUGAAGAAUUUUUGCUCCUCCAUAUAUACAAGGAGCAAGAAGCAGAGGGUGGCUCUGCAUGUAAUUUAACUGGUUUAUAGAUUUGUAAUAGAAUUAGCAGUGAUAUGUUCGAAACUCAUUUGGUAUCAAAUCACUGCAAUAUUAGCAUCAUCAUUUAUCAGUGAAGGAUAAGAUACAAUUUUUUUAAUUGAUUCUUCUUCUGGCUAGCACACUUAUUUAAUUACCAACUCUCACAACUCAUUAUUUACUAGUGUAUCACUGAAUUAUUUCAUUAUAAAUUUAGGCAUUAUUUUAGCUUCGUAUUUGCGUGCAUUCAGUAUUUCACUCAGUUUUUAAUACCAUCAGGAUUGUUGAACCUGUUGUUAUAACAUGGGAUAUCACAGGAAUGAUGAUUUUCAAUGUUUAUACCACCAUAAUUUUCUUUGUCCUCUACCAUCUGAUCAGGCAUCUGCUUAUCUACCAUGUCAAAUUCAUCCUUCUGCAAGAAAUUUCUUGGUGCAGCAGCAGCAGUUAGAAAGGAGGAUGUAGCUAUGGAUAUCAUCAUCACCAUAACGAUACCAAUCGCCAUCUUGGCCAUUUUCUUCUUUAGUUCUAUUUACUGAUCAGCAGUCAGCAAGACAGUAGCAGUAUAUAUAUGACCUGCAUGCAGGAAUAAAAUCAUAAGUAAUAAAAUCUAGGAAUUGAAGCUAAGUAGAUAAAAAAAAUGUAGAGCUGUUGAUUGUUACCCAAGAAAUGGCUGAAAUUAAGAUUAUUUGUAUGAUGGAGGACUGCAAAUCCAGUAUAUAUAUAUAGUCGACUCAUAGUGCGAGGUGCGAUUCGAUUAUCGAAAAUGAAUCGAUGCUUAUAUUGAGGAUGUACUGUAAUUUUGGUUUGAUGAUGUAAAAAUGCAUUAAAACACUAAUGUAUGCAGUUCCUGGGUGGAUGAAUGAUCAGGUGAACACCUUUGAUUAAAAUAAAUUUAGGGUUUAGGGUUUAGGGUUUGUAGAUAUAUAGACAACGUACUAAAUGCAGUCAUAUAUGUAGACAGUAGUAGACUUAUUCAUCCCACCAUCCUUAAUUAGUGCACACCUGAAUCUUUCUCUCAAGGAAAAGACAGAUUUGCAAAAUCAAUCAAUCAAUCAAUUGAUCUAUAGAUAAAUAUUCUUAGGGUUUGUGAAUUAUGACAACAAUUUUUUUCCUUGAUCUCUAAUUUUACCUUUAGCAAUUCCCAUAUUGGAAGCAACUUGUUAUCUCAUAGUCUGAUUAAACCACAAAUUACAGAUAUUUACUGAUCAGUAAGAUUGAAAUUACUGGAGGACAAUUGUCACUGAUGUUGUAACUCACCAGUUACCACUUGUAGAUGUGGACUACUGCUUUAAUUAGGGGAUCAUUGGCUGCUGAGAUAACCUAGCAAGAGAGGAUCUGCGGCUGUUCGAGAGCUAGGACUCUCCUAAGAGUUCUUAAGCUUCUCAAGCUCGAAAUUAGUGGGAUCAAGAGCUAUGCAAUAUUCUCAUCUAAGGUCAAUGAUGCAUGGUGCUCAUUUUUUUCCGGAAUUCUUAGUUUCCAGAUACGCUCGUUGUCAAUUAGCUGUCACAUGUCGUUAGGUACGGCAUUAGUAAGCCUGUAUAUCGGUUGGAUUCGGAUCGGAUAUGCAGGUAUUCGAAUCCGACCGAAUAAAAUUCGGAUUUGAAAAUUCAAAUCCGGAUAAUCCGAAUUCGAAUAAAUUAUCCGGAUUUUCGGAUAAUCCAAAUCCGGAUAACUUUAAUUAGGGUUAGAGUUAGAAUUUAAUAAUUAUAAGUCAAUAAGUUAUAAAGAUUUAUAAUUAUAACUUAGGUAAUUAGGUUUAAGUAUUUAAUGAUUUAUAAUAUAAAUAUAUAAUGUAUAAAUAUAAUAAUAUUAAUUUAUUAUAUAUUUAUACGGAUAUCCGAAUCCGGAAUUCUUAAAUAAAUUUGGAUUUUAUCGACGGAUUUCAAUUCAGGUAUCCGAAUCCGGAUAGUCAUAUUCGAAUGCGGAUUCGAAUACGAAUUUCAGUAUACCAUUUAAAAGCUUAGGCAGCAGUACUACGAUUAUCUAAUUGCCGACCUAAGUGUGUUCGUAGAAAGAUGGAAGAAAAAAGCGACAUUCUAUGGAGACCGCCGCCUUCAGCUCAAUGGGUCUUCGGAGGGACAUUUUCCUAUCUUAUGCAAAGUACAACAAUACCAAAGCACACUCUCGAUGUGAUCAAGUAGUCGUUAAUUAACCUACAAGUUUAUGUGGGUCGGGAACCCGAAAAGAAGUAGCGUACGUGAUCGAGUAUGGUAUCCCUCCAGAAAAGAAAGUGGGAUAGGGUUUCAGGACUAUGCCAUUGCCCAAAAUGCUUCUAUUCUGAAUCGUGCAAGCAGAAUCUAGCGAGAGAGUAGAGUGUGGGCGAGAUGGAUGUAGACUAGCUAAGUAUGUUAAAGGUAGGAGUCUCAACAAAAUUGAGCCAAGGCAGACAGACUCGUCGUCCAGAAAAGAAAUACUACAGACGCACUGUGAUGCGAUCGAGCGAUGAAAAAAGGUUCAUGAUCUUAUGGGAUGGGCACCGCAAAUAAUUAGUGCACUGUGAUAUAUUUUUUUAUUCAUAAUCAUAUACUAAACUGUCGAACAUUUCAUUUAAUUUUACCAAUAACAUUAUAAAAAAAUGGAAGUCUAAGGUUUAUUGACAUGAAUAGAAGUUGUAGAUUUAAUAAAUGAGGUAAAUUUCAAAUGAUAAUCCAGAAUUAGAACAUCUUAACUAUUCAUUUAUUUUCAAUUUUAACAAUAUAUGAGUGAUGAUACGCGCUUUGUAAUGACUAAAAUCAGAGUUUUCGAUUUAGUUUUCACCUGAAAUUUGGUGUAGAUUUAAUAAAUGGGGUUGGUUAAUUUCACCACAUGAGUUAAACAUAUUACUAGAGAUUUUUGUAGGAAACUAAUUGAAUAUGGACACACAAACCGUCUAAAUGUUUGAUACAUAGUGAAUGCGACAAUCUCAACCGUCUAUAUUCUUUUCUUAUUGUCUGUGGCAUGCCUGUACAGAAAGAGUGAAUUUUAUACCGAAUACGAGGAUUUAGAUGCAAAUACGUCAGUCGGAUGAAUUUUGGCCCAAUUAGUUCGCCAAUCUAGUCUCGACGAAAAAGAGGCCCCUCCAGGAAGGUUCUUGCUGGCGAUUUGACGAAACCAGUUGUGCCUCUCGUGUUCUUUGGCAGCUCUAUCCAUGUCUUCUCGUCAAUUAUUCAGACGGAUUUCCGUCUCAUCCUUCCAGAGAAUUUCCAAUCCCAUUUCCAGGGGUACUAUAUAAUCUGAAAAUAAAAUAAAAUAAAAAUGAUUUUCUUCUUCUUUGUUUCUAAAAUUAGGGGUUUUGUUCUUCAAAAUAUUAGGGUUUUUCUUUUUGGUUGCAGUAUUCUCGUCGUUCUCAUCCGAAGUUCAGAUCGGAAUUGUCAAUAAACAAGUUGAAAAAGAAGAUUCUCCUAACGAAAAAAAGUCACAUCCAUCGUCAAACACAAUCCCCAAAACCCAUUCGGCAGUUUCCAGCUUGAAGACAUCAAGCAGACAUGAUCUUGCCAUGGUGUUCACAUGCAAGGUAUGUGAAACAAGAUCAGUUAAAACCGCUUGCCGAGAGUCAUACGAGAAAGGCGUGGUUGUGGCGAGAUGCGACGGCUGCAAUAAUCUUCAUCUAAUGGCUGAUCGACUGGGAUGGUUUGGAGAGCCAGGGAGCGUUGAGGACUUGUUGGCUGCUCGUGGGGAGGAAGUGAAGAAAGGAUCCGCUGAUACCAUAAAUCUGACAUUGGAAGAUCUUGCAGGAACAGGAACAAAGACAUGAAUACCUACCUGUUCUUCAAGGUAAAUACUAAUUCAUCAUUCAGCAUCUACUAUUUAUCUGUUUUUCUUUCUUUCUUUUAAGACAGAAGAUACUAGAUAGUGAAUUAAGAAACAAUCCACAGCAAAUACAUUAUGAGAUGAUUCUUGACUCAUGACUCAAUCCAUAUUCAUAGUAUAGGUAAUUAGGUAUGUAGUUCUAUUACAAUGAAAGAGGGAAGGGGGGAAGAGGAACAGGUUUACUUUUGAUAAACAAAAUUCAGAAGAGUGACAUGAGCGAGCCUACAACAACAUCUGUCAUCUGGUAUGUGUGGAAAAUGCAUAAUUUACAUAAAUCUACCAAAGACACGGAGUUUUUUGUCCAUUUUCUCUCAUUAGUCUCAUAUUCUCGUAUAAUCUCAUAUAAAAUAUAUAGAAUGAUUAUAAAAUACUUCCGGGGGAUGCUUACUCUCAUGCAAUAUGCAAAACCAAAUCAUCCCAGACUGAUUUCUUUCCUAAGUAGAAGAAUAAGAAUGAUGGCGAUGAAUGAGGUGUUUGAUGGUAUGGUGAACUUGAGAAGCUUACUUUACUUCUUCUUGAAUGUUAUCAUGCAGAAGAAUGCCAGGAAGCGGAACAGUAUUCCGUAAAUAAAGAGGAUAAUUAUGCACAACCCCCAGUCGCCAAUGUGAUAUUCGCUGUGCUUAAGUGCUCCGCAACGGGUGAUUAACCACACACCAGAAUACCUGAAUGUAUACAUGCAUGCAAUCAGAGAGAGAGAGGGGGGGAUGAAUGAAGAAAUGAAGGGAUUUCAACCUUUCCGCAUUUGAGAUGACAAAAGCUUGCAGAGCCCAUUUUGUAUAACACAGAUUAGCCAAUAACUCCAUGCUUCCUCCGCUGUUUUCUUGAGUUGCUAUCAGUGUCAAAACAACAGGAAGCAACACGCACCACUGCGUGGAAAGUUGGAAGAAAUUCUGAGGAUUUAGAAUUGAGUGAAUUUGGUUGAUUUUUUUAGAAUUUAGAAUUAGUACCUACCAGUUGAGCUGAACCUGCUUGGAGGAAAAUGGCAAACCAAUAUGCAAUGCCGGUGACACAGUACACUAGGGAGACCAGAACAAUAUAAUUAUCUAAGAUUGAUGACCUAGGAUUGUUGAAGAAAUAAAACAUCGAUAGGUAGACUAUUGGCUUGAUGAGUGUGUUGAAAUGAUCGACUGUGUCUUUUGCCAAAAAAUAGGCCAAUGAACUCAUGCCAGCGGCGCUCUCUCUCCAAUAGUGUAACUUCUCAAGUGAAAAUGAUCUCAGAGCUCCGAUCUUGCACAACAGGGCUGCACCAGAAAAUGGCCAAACUCUUACAGUUGUAAUUAAAGAAGAAAAGAAUAUGUAUGAGAGAACAACAUCGAUCUUCAACUUACAGACAGCAAUGACAGUAUAGGUAUAACCAACUGAACCAAAAGAUUCAUCGCUCACUUUAGCGAGUGUACCUAGGCAAACUCCGGCCAGUAAUAAAAUGAUGAAAUCGACAAACUGAAUUCUUGCUUCUCGAAGACGCUGCUUGCCAACCCUAUACGUCAGAAUAUAAAUGACUGAAAAUUUGAAGGAAACAGGUAUGUGUAUUCUGAAAUUAUAUAAUCAAAGAGAGAAAGAUCGAAAACCAGCACUUGCCUUCCAAAAUAAUAUUUAUACUGGCGAAAGUAUCCUGGAGUGGUGCGAUUGGAUAAAUCGACAGGUUUGGUGAAGUUGAGGCCGAUGUUAUCCUUCUUUUUCUCCACAAUACACUUUAUAUCACCCCAGACUUCCCCAACAAUCGUAUGCACAUCUGAUUCAGGCGGAGCCUCUUCGGGGCUGGAUUUUAUCGACUUAUCUGCAGCAGAUUCAGCUCCAAGAAGAUCCAGCAUGUCUGGAGGUAUCACGUAGCCAUUGUGUUGCAUCCAUUUGAUAGGAAGCUGUUUGUAGUUCAGUCCAGAACUCACACUUGGUUUUACUAUACCCUCCAAAAUGUCGAUGUAAUAAUCCGGUGGGUUGACGCGAUCAGGGACGUUGAUGCCGAUACCUGAGAAGUAUUCUUCCACCUUUUUAACGGAUCCGUGGUAUGCAGUCAAGCCUCCUUUUGCAAGAAGGAUCAGAUCAUCGAACAUCUUGAACAAAGCGUAACUACACCCAACAGACAACCACCGUCAACUACCCAGUAUAAUUAUUGCAUAAACAAACAUACAAGUCCCAGGAAAUGUAGAAAUACGGACCUUGGCUGGUGAACCACCAACACAAUGUUCACUCCUUCACAAGCUUCUCGACGAAGAGCUCUCAGAAGCAGGUUCGAUGAGGAACUGUCCAGUCCAGACGUCGGUUCGUCUAGAAUUAACAAAGAAGGUUCCAUAACCAUUUCUAGUCCCACAUUCACUCUUUUUCUCUGUCCUCCUGAAAUCCCUCGCUUCUCAACAGUCCCGACCAAUGAGUCUCUCACGGCCUGGAGUCCUAGGGACUCGAUCACCCUUUCAAGCACCAGAACUUUAUCUGCUUUUGAAAACUCGGCCGGAAGUCUACAUCUUGCAUUGAACCAGAGAUUUUCCUCUACCGACAGGUUACCGUGCACAAUAUCGUCUUGGGGGACGAACCCGAUGAUUUUCUUGUAGGAAUGGAUUGGUUCUGGCUUUCCGUUUACAAGAACGGCUCCAGUUAUCUCGCAUCCUGUAAUUUUACCCGCGAGUGCACUGAGAAAUGUAGUUUUCCCGGCCCCUGAUGGACCCAUGACUGCAGCCACACGACCGGGCAUAAGUUUUCCGGUGACGCAUCUCAUCAGUGUUUUCCCCUUCCCUUUCAAGGUGAUCCUUAGAUCUUGGAAAGCAACUUCUAUAACAGGCCUUGUUCUCAUUUCAGUGUCAGUGGCCAUUGAUAUCACUCCGGAGAAGGUUAGAUUCUUGUUCUCCUGCUGCAAAGCUUUUUCUUUUUCGAUCUGUCCGUAGGCAUACUUGAAGAUCUGACUGCGAGUGUGCAUCUCUUUACCUUUUGGUAUGUGUUUUUUCAGGUUUUUGUCUCCAAUCUCCAAAUUAAACCCUUCUUCACCCUCUUCUGAAAUAUUACGCAUCAUCUUCGUCAGGUUGCUCUCCCCCGUCUCUCCAUCUUCUGUCGAGCUAGAACUUGGAGUCGUGUCUGCUUUCGUAGCUUCUGCCGGCGUUGAAGAUUUUUUACGAGAGAAUGUACGAGACAGCUGCGUUUGAAGUCCAGUGGUAUGUUUUCUAGCUAUAUCCUUUGCAGCUUUCCACCUCUCCCGAGCUUGUGCUGUCUCUCUAGCACUCCUUGCUGCAGCUUCUCUGGAUUUCGCAUGUUGUUUUUCCCUACUGCUCAGAACUUGAUCGGAGAAGUUGUAUAUGAUCAAGAGCAACAAUCCCAGUGACACCUAUACCAAGACAAUCCAUAUAUUCGGAAUAACGAAGACAUUUGCGGACUACCAAAUGUACUCACUCGGUUAUAACUUACUAUGAGCAGAACACCGAAGAGAGUGAUGUCUUGAUUGUCUGACAUUGCUUUGCAAGAACUCUUUUUGUAGCAUCCUGUGCGGUGCACGAAAAGUUUACUUUGUUGAUUUAUUCCUAAACAUCUUGAACGUAAAGAUAUAAAAAUGUCAGAGCUUGCUUACUCUGCAUCGUCGUCGACCCUUUCCGGCAAUAAUAUCUGAUGCGAAGAAAUAGUUAGAUCGUGUAUGUUUGAAAUGUGAAUAAAUGAAAUGACAGAAUGUAACGAAGUACGGUUCAUACCCAGGUUCACAAGGAAGUUUUUUUGUUGUUGUCGGACAGUAGUACCCUGCUGGACAGAAUAUGUCACUGUCGGUUUUGAUGUCUGCCCAAAUAUCUGCUCCCCCACAUGUAUGGUCCGGUCGUCCAGGGGGAAGCUGGUAACGGUACCUGCAUAGUUUUUUUUGUUCUAGCACAGUUUAUGAUUCGGAUGUUUAUUCCGUUGGGUUAGUUUGGAGGAUAAAAAUAACUCACGGAUAGCAUAAACCAGUCGUCCUGUUUAGCUCUCCUUUUGGACAGUAUGAACCCAAUGGACAUGCUUCAUUCGGGGAUUAAAGAUCAGGGGAUGAAUGCGAAUUAAAUUUAACAAUGGAUCGAUAAAAUUGAGAAUUUGAGAUAUUAAAAUUUGCAUAAAUGAAAUAAAUCCUUACGUAUCAUGCAAGUAAUGCCUUGAGGGCAGAAGAAACCUUCACAGCAAGGCCUACAAUCCAUUGUUCUAGAAGGCGUGUUCUUUGAAUCUUUGAGAUCAACUUGUUUAUGUCCUCCAACGCUGCAUCCCCAUCCUGGCUCGCAUCCUGACACCCACGAGCUCAGAUUACAAUUCUUGUUAGGUUUUAAAAAAUCACCCCUCUCUCCACUUCCGUACAAUCCACUGAAGUAGAACUUUAUUUCUGCUGCAUUGCAUAUCCUUUGAAGAAGAUCAUCUGCCAACAAACCAACCAACCAAUUCAAUCAAUUGAACUUCAAUGUGCAAUGUGAUCAAUCAGACUCGUACCAGAUUGCUUGAAGCAUUGAGUCAUAAAAGUCAAAUUAGAAGAGAAAUUGAAAGCUUCAUCCCAAUCUCGAUCCCUGCAAUCAAUCAAAAUAAAUAAUCGAUCGAUACUCUAUGCAUAUACCCCAGAAAGAAAUCAGAAACAAUUGCCUGUCGAGAAUGCAAUAAUCGAGCCCGUCGCCGACAUCACCGUGGAAGGUCUCGGUGAGAUUCGAGAGCUUAUUGUAGAUAGCGCCAGUGACAACAUUAUUAAUACCGUCGUUGGCCGCAACCGCUCCGUCAGGUGACUGGCAUUUCCCUGUCGGUAUCCCGGAUAGGAGGAUAAAGACCACGGAUACGACCAAGACGACGGUCGCCGACCUUAGCAUUGCGGGCGGCAUCGCAUUGCACAUGAGUGAGUUAUUGUGUAGAAAUCGUGAGAGAAUGUUGUUGUGAGAAUAGAAUUGGGGGUGGAAGGGAAUUGCGGAAGGGAGAAAAAAGGGGGCGGGAUGAAAGAAUUGGGGGCGUGGAUGGUUGGGGAGGAGAGGGGAAGUUGCCGAUGGCCGAUGGAGGGAAUGGUGUGGAAUUUAGCUUCUUUUUUUUUUUUUUUGAAAAUUCAUAUCUCACAACAGCCGGGAAUCCCAGUAAUAAGAUCAAUCCCAAAUUAAAACGAAAAACAGCAAAUAAAAGUCUAAUUUGGUAAAAUAAAAUGAAAUAAUGACGAUUUGAACCUCAAUUUUUUUAGUAAUUUACUUGAGUGAGUUAGGUGAAUUAAAUAGUCCCAAAUGUGAGGUCAUAUAACUAUAUAAGUCACACCCACAUGGCCACAUGUCAGAUUGGGUCAGAUGGUAUAUACGUGUGAACGUGAUAUUAAUCAUAUUAUGGGCGAAUUAAAGUUACCGACUAAUCAAUAAAUUUUAAUCUUUAUUUAAGAUGAUAAAAAAUAAUUAAUAACAAUAACAAAAAGUAACAGUUACAAAUUUAGGCCAGAUGGAGUGAUGCUAUUGUAGAUGGCCGAUCAGUGGGACCCAUGAAAUCAACGAUUGUGAUCUCAUCCAAAAUACAAACCGUCAUCACCCAAUCGGUUCGCCGGAAAUAGGAAAUACCUUUUAGUUUGGUUUUUGUUUGGGUUUAGAAGAAGCGUGACUGGUGUGUGCGAACCUUCAAGGAGGAGGAAAGGGAUAAGCAAGAUUCGUUUUUUCCAUUCGGUAACAGUUAAGUGGAUUGAUCGGAAAGGUAGUUUUUCUCCUCUAUCUCUCACUAGAUUUGUAUCCCUUUUGAUGUGCAAUUUCUGUUGAUCGAAGUUUGUUUCGUUUAAUUUUGUGUUUCAUUCGGUGCAAUUUAGUGUUUCUUUUCUCUCUCUAUCUUUUACUAUUGUCUGUUUUUAAUCGACAAUUAAUGAAAUAUAGAUAUUUUAUGAAAAAUUAAAAUGCUUGAUCGCUUUCGAUCAAUCUACUAUGAUUUUUAGAUCCAUCCCUUCAUUCUUCCCCAAUUUUAUUAAACACGUGAUUUAGAAUUGAAUUAAGUUGCUUAGUUUAUUUUUUGUUGCUAUUUCAAAUGAUAUAUUUAAGAUUCUUAACGGUGAUGUUGGUGAUUUUUGCAGGAUUUUGUUUCAAAGUGGGAAAAUUGAUGGCAAUGUAUGAUCAAGACCCUGAUGUUGUUGCGUGGGGCCUUGACCUUUUAAGUGGCUGCCCACCAUACCAUAACUCUGAAUAUUCUGAAACCAUAAUUCAUAGGGAUGACAUCGGUUACAACGAGAAUUACACUACGGAAAGUAUCGAUAACACUGAUAACUGUACAAUAGAGAAUGAUGAGGUUAUUGCUCACGCUCUCCAAGAAGAAUUUUCAGAACUUGCUUCUGUCGAGGCUUCUGAUCAUUUACAUGCGUCUGUUUUGGCACAAGUUUGGGACAAAUUCGAUAACGAUGGUAUAGUAUUAUACUAUUAUCUAAGACUGAAUAGUUUGUCUAUUUUUUGUCUUUUAAUUUUGUCAGGUGAAUUUUGAUCUCAUCAAUUUCAGAGAAUCAGGGCCACCACGAGGAAGAAGAUGUUCUAUCUUCCACCACAAGCUCAAAUACAGAAGAGUGCUGUGAGGAAAAAGAUUCCCCAUCUGAGAUAAUAGAUGAUCAUUUUGAUUUGGAUGGUGAGGUAGAGAAGAGGCUGAAUAAAAUGGUUCCAAUACAAGUAAGUUAUAACAUGUGCUCUAUUUUAUGAGAAGCUAAAAUUUCUCUUCUUCUGAUUAGAUAUGAUCUGUUAGUGUCAGUCUGCUUAUACCCUUUCAUAUAUUUUUAUUUUCUUCAUAAUCGUAUACCUUUAAGGCCAGAUCCUGUAAGAUAUUAUAUAUGAGAUAAAAAUAAGAUAUCAAAUCGUUUGAGAUAUAAAUUUCAUUGGUCUGUGUUUUUAUGAUUCAAUAUGUAAAACUAAAUUUUCGAGUUAGCAUUAGAAGUUUAGAACAAUAGAACAUACUAGGUAGUGACUAGUGAGCAACAGAUCAUGAACACCCCACAUAUACCAAAGUAUUAAAUAUUUACAUUUGCAAAAAAAUUGGUGUAAAAUCGUUUUGAAUUUGCAUAUGCAGCAUGUUCCAAAGAUAAAUGGAGAGAUCCCCUCUAUUGAUGAAGCUAUGUCUGAUCAUCAAAGACUUCUUGAAAGGUACAUUGAUUAUUUCCGUUUGAGUAUUUUAUUGCCAAUAUAACCUUGAAUUGAUCAAAGGGACGCAUCACAUAAGCAUUAUUUUGAUUUAUAUAUUUUAUGUAACCUCUUAUUUUUCUUUGAAAACCUGAGUUUUUUAUAAACGAUGAAUUGGUAAAUCCUGCAAAUCUACAAUAAAUGGGAUGUAUGAUUUUAAUUAUUUUUUACACUAUAUUUCCCCUAUAAAGUCCUACUUCUAUAGUCUUUUAUCAUUAAUAUAUUUAUAGAUUUUAUACUAUCUGGAGCACAUUUUUAAGAAAAUCAACAAAUACUGAACCAUACCUUUUCCCAACAAUAUUUCCCCUGUUGUCUGUUAAGAAUUUUUGAAGUGUAAUUCUUAGAAUUUUUUUUUCUGGUUGAAAUAAUGAUUGUAUAUUUUUUAUUUGAUAAAUUGCAACAUUAUAUAUGUGGUUAGCAGUUCAAUGACAGUUUUGAUUUUACAUAUCUGUAUUUUAUUUAGAUUGCAAUUAUAUGACCUGAAUGAGCUCAAGAUUGAAGGGGACGGUAAUUGUCAGGUUAGUGUUAUACUGUUGUUAACUUUUGUCCUAUCUAGGUUCCUGUAAACUUUGAAAAUACUCUGAAUCAUACAAACUUUGGAUUUUUUAGAGGGUAUUUGAAUAAUGUAUGAUUAUCGUAAUGGCGACACAUUCAUUGCAUACUGUUUUUCUGUUACUUGUGAGCUAUGAAAUAAUGAAUAAUUAUUUUGAUGUUUAAUUCCAAAUUUCAAAUCUUUAGUUCCGGGCAUUAUCAGAUCAGUUUUAUCGUACUACUAACCAUCACAGAUUUGUGAGGCAGGAAGUUGUCAAGCAGGUAUGCUUAAUACACUAGAAAUAUUAUUAUAUUUUACAUCUGUGAUUCUUUGGUGUAAUUUUAUUGGUUAUUUUCCGAUUGACAUUGAUUUUCUUUUAUUUAAUUUCAGUUGAAGUCUCAACCUGAUAUUUACGAGGGUUAUGUUCCCAUGGCCUAUACUGAUUAUUUGAAGAAAAUAUCAAAGUGCACGCUUUUCUCUCUAUCCUCUUAUUUACUAUUUCUUUCAUGCUUUACGUAACAUGUUAAUUUUCUUUGCAUCUUAUUUACUAGGAAUGGAGAAUGGGGGGAUCAUGUUACAUUACAAGCUGCUGCAGAUUCUGUAUUGUUACCUUUCUUUCACUUGUUAAUUAAGAAAUAAGCAAAUCAAACCUUGCAUUUUGUUUAAUAAGCACAUUGUAUUAGCAGAUGAAAAUAUGAUGAUUAUUUAUGCUGACAUUGUGGUGCUGCAGUAUGGCGUUAAAAUAUUUGUUAUAACAUCAUUUAAGGAUACGUGCUAUAUUGAGAUUCUUCCCAAUGUUGAGAAAUCAAAGCGUGGUAGUCUUCUUACUCUGAAUAUAUGGAUACAUAUUUGUUUUAUUGAUUACUAAUCCUUCUUAUAAUGUCAAAUUUCAAAAAUAAAAGCACUGUUAUGAAUUAAGUUCUUGAAACACAAAAGUGUUUAGUGAAUUUACUUCCGUGUCCCAGUAAAUUUAUCCAUCUGGUAAUAUGCCCUAUAAAUUUAUUUCUUGAUGGUGUUUUUCUUGUAUGAUAUGCUUGCAGUAAUUUUCUUGAGUUUCUGGGCAGAGGUACACUACAACUCAAUAUACCCCGAAGGAGGUACAAAAUUUCUUAAUCCUCACUUAUUUUUCACAUCGGUUAUAUUUUAUCAGGAAAUCUAAAACAGCCUUUUAAAAAAAAAUUGUGGUGCAGACAUGCCGGCUAUGCCAAUUCAAAUCAAGAAAAGGUAGUGAAUUAAUAUAAAAAUAAUAGAUAUUAAGAUUUAAAAUUAAUAGAAUAACACACCACUUUGCAAUUUGAAUCUCUCUCUGAUUUCUGACUGAAUGUGUGAAUAACUGAAUAUUAUCAGGACUGCUAUUCUGGAACAUUUACCUACCACUUGUGCUGUGAUGUGAUUACGAUUACAGUAGAAGAAGAGCUGAACCUAACAGACGGUCGGAUUUUUUCUCAUGUCAAACAUGUUAUAUCUUCAAGACGGAGUAUAGCGCAAUUCUAGUUGCCUAUUUGUAAAUAAACAUGUCUGGAAAUAAUGAAAUGUCAUAUAUGUUCACAUGAUAUAAUUUGUAAAACUAGGUAUUCUCACUUAUACUUACAUACUUCAAAUAUGUGAAUAUUGUCAUAUUGAAAAAUCAUCUAGUAUUUUGAUUUUAAUAUGAAAUAAAAACAUUGUAGGUAAACUUUAGAAUUGGAGGGUAAAUGUUUAUCUACCAAAAAGUUUGGAGGGAGUAGCAUGUUCAUUUUGCAUUCUUUUUUUACAUUUUAAAAAUUAAUAAAUUGUCAAAAUAUAUAAAAGAGGUUGGGUAUUUGUCUGUAUUUGGUUUGAGAUCAUUUAUCCAUCUCCAAUUCUCCAUCCUUGUUCAAAUUGAUCAAGAAAGGAAAUGACGAAAUUUGUUAUCAAUCCAAAGAAAUGGUAUUGAAGUUACGAGGAUUAUACUUGAUAUUUUAGACUCUUAAUUUUAUCGUUAUAUAUAUAUUUUUUUUUUAAACAAUUAAAUUUUAUUAAAAAAAUAAAGACAAUACCCCAAUUACAUAUAGAAUAAAAACAAAAACAAAAGUAAAAAAAAUAAACUUAUAUUUAGGGAUUUGGAUAUACUUAAUAUUAUGAACCUGAUCAACUGAAUCCGAAAACUUUUACUCUAUCAAAUCGGGUAGAACAUGAAUAAGGCCUUCAUGCCCGACUAGUCCUAAUGGAGAUGCCCAAUCAUAGAAAUCACUUAUGAUUUUAUCUUUUUGAAAGAGAUUUCUUAUGUGUUUCACUUUUUAAUAAAAUAAACGUCUAAAUUCUAAAUUCUCUUUGAAUAAUAAAUAUUAGCGAUUAAAUAAUGUUAUGUAAUCAUUCGGUAAUUACUAAUCACUAAUCAGCUUCAUUGGAACCGCUUAUCUUAACGCCAAAUAAUGUAGAUGUAGAUGUUGUAGCUCAUAUUAGCACUAAAAUGCGCCGAAACCCUAGAUAUUAUAAAUAGGGUAACAAAACCCCUCAAACCCUUAAUCUUCCUGCCUUUCACCUUAUCCUAAAAAACUCUUCUUUCCCUAUUCGAAUUAGAUCCGAGAGCAAUGGCUUCUGCCAACGCCAUCUCUACCGCUAUCCCUCGUUCUCCUCGUCAGGUAACCUGUUUCUGCAUCUCUUCUAUCCUUAGAAUCGUCUCUAUCUUUCUCCCACGAUGGGGAAUCCGCUAACUUUUCGAUUCUGUUUAUUAUUCUGUUUCAGCCAGAGGUUCAAAGGAGAAUCGGUGCACAGGGACGGAGAGUCAGCUACAGGCCCUCGUCGAUGAACGGAAAGAGUAGGUUUGUUGUGAGGUCGUCUGCGAAGGAGAUUGCGUUCGACCAGAUCUCUAGGAGCACUAUGCAGAAUGGAAUCGAUAAGCUUGCUGAUGCUGUUGGCGUCACACUUGGUCCUAGAGGUAACAUUAAACUUUUAACCCCUCUCAAUUUUUAGUUUUAUUGUUCAAUUGAUAUUUCUGAUGAUAUGUUGAUUUUUCCUACACGAUCUAAUUUCUGCUAUGAAUGUUAAUUACGCAUGUUCUUGUUGCUGAUAAAUGCUAUGCAUCUCUUUUUAUUUCUCAAGGGAGGAAUGUUGUUUUGGAUGAGUUUGGAAACCCUAAGGUUGUCAAUGAUGGUGUCACAAUCGCUCGUGCCAUUGAACUUGCCAAUCCCAUGGAGAACGCCGGUGCAGCCUUGAUACGGGAGGUAUUCUGUUAUGUUUUCCAGUUUUCCAUAGAUUGCUGAAUUCUUUCAAAUGUGAAUAUUUAAUCAUAUCGUGUCUGUGUAUAUCUGCUAGGUUGCCAGCAAAACCAAUGAUUCUGCUGGAGAUGGAACGACAACUGCCUCAGUGCUAGCUCGUGAAAUCAUCAGAUUAGGAUUAUUAAAUGUUACUUCUGGUGCCAAUCCAGUUUCUAUCAAAAAGGGAAUUGACAAAACUGUUAUUGAGCUUAUUAAUGUGCUAGAAGGCAAAUCCCUUCCUGUCAAGGGAAGGAAUGACAUCAAAGGUAUGUUCUCUAGAUUUCUUAUGUUGCAUUCAUCUUUUUCAUUAAUGUUUGAAAAUCUUUAUGUCCAGCUAUUGCAACUAUCUCGGCUGGAAAUGAUGACCAAAUCGGUACAAUGAUUGCUGAUGCCAUUGACAAAGUUGGACCAGAUGGUGUCUUAUCUAUUGAAUCUUCAUCUUCUUUCGAAACCACUGUUGAUGUAGAAGAAGGAAUGGAGGUCCUUUUUUUGUUUACUUUUGUUAGCUAAAUCUCUCUGAUUUUGUUGGUGUGUUUAUAAAAAAAUUAUUAUUAUUAUUAUUAUUCCAGAUUGAUCGGGGUUACAUUUCUCCUCAAUUUGUUACCAAUCCAGAGAAGCUGAUUGUUGAGUUUGAGAAUGCAAGAGUUCUUAUCACCGACCAGAAGAUCUCAGCAAUUAAAGAAAUCAUCCCUUUGUUGGAAAAGACUUCACAAUUAAGAGCCCCGUUGCUGAUUAUUGCUGAAGAUAUAACUGGGGAAGCUUUGGCUACUCUCGUUGUGAACAAGUUGCGAGGUAUCAUCAAUGUCGCUGCUAUCAAGGCACCUGGUUUUGGUGAGAGACGCAAAGCACUUCUACAGGACAUUGCAAUUAUGACAGGUAUUUUUUGGCCAUUCUAUUUUAGUAUAGUUUUCGUAGGAGCUAUUGAUCUAAUGAUUCAACUUUUCUUUUGUCAGGAUCUGAGUUUCAGGCUAAGGACCUUGGCCUUCUCAUAGAAGAUGCAUCUGUAGAGAGCCUUGGUAUUGCAAGGAAGAUAACCAUCUCUCAGAGCAGUACUACAAUAAUUGCAGAUGCAGCAAGCAAGGAUGAAAUUCAGGCAAGAAUUAGCCAGAUAAAGAAUGAGCUUGCCGAAACUGAUUCUGUUUAUGACUCGGAGAAACUGGCUGAGAGAAUUGCCAAGCUUUCUGGUGGUGUUGCAGUGAUCAAGGUUGGAGCUGCAACAGAGACAGAGCUUGAAGAUCGCAAACUUCGUAUUGAGGAUGCUAAGAAUGCUACAUUUGCUGCUAUCGAGGAGGGAAUUGUCCCUGGUGGUGGUGCUGCAUAUGUUCAUCUUUCCACUUGUGUUCCUGCCAUCAAGGAAUUAUUUGAAGAUGCCGACGAACGACUUGGUGCUGACAUUAUACAAAAGGUUAGUAUGGAACGGUAUUAUGAUUUAAUGACUAAUUGUGGCAAAUCUACUAUCAUAACAUAAAAAAUUAUUUGUCGUUGUUGCAGGCUUUGGUAUCCCCAGCAUCUUUAAUUGCCGCUAAUGCCGGAGUUGAAGGAGAGGUGGUUGUCGAGAAGGUGAGAGACAGCGAAUGGGAAAUUGGGUACAAUGCGAUGACAGACAAAUACGAGAAUCUAGUUGAAUCUGGAGUUAUUGACCCAGCUAAGGUGACGAGAUGUGCCUUGCAGAAUGCUGCAUCUGUUGCUGGAAUGGUUCUAACGACGCAAGCCAUCGUUGUUGAGAAGCCUAAACCAAAGGUUCCUGUUGCUGCGCCGCCACAGGGUCUUACUGUUUAGGUAGGUAUCCUUUAUUGUGUUGUAGCCAUGAUCAUGAUGAUUUUCACUUAAGUAAACAAUUUUGUAAUCUGGAUUUGAACUUGGGUGUCGAUUCCUUUCUCAUCGUGUGUUGUUUUCCUAUCGAAAUGAGAAUAAAGGAUGGAGAAUUCAGAGUUGGGAAUAGAAAAAAAAUGGACCGGACCACUAUUUUUUUCUUUUAAUCCCCAAAUGGAAUAAUAAAUUAGUCGUGAAAUUCCCACUGAAAUAUUCUUUUUCAUUACACACUAUUGUUUCUAGAGUUCUGUUCAAAAUUCCAUUUUUUAUUCUUUUUGAACUUCUUUAUUUAUUCCAAUGAUCUGAUGGAAUAUAUUUACGAUAACAUCCUUAAUGUGAAAAGGGUUUACGAGAAAAUUUCAUUAUAAAAACAGUCCCCAUGCCGUUAUACUGUUAUAUUUAGGUGAACACUAAACAGGAUUACGGAAGGAGGAAGAAGAUAAGGUGGAAUCGAACUUCGUCGUCCAGAGCGACAUUGUCCUUCAGAUUCCGAUUGUUAGGAUUGUUGCAAUUAUCAGCAGUGAAUUCUGCUCGUGUGCAACAUUGUUCUUAGCUGAAUGAUGUUGUUAGAUGAUAUUUUGGUCGACGACAUCCCCACUGUUUUGUAUAUAGUGGUGGUGGAUGAUGAAGAUCAAAUUUCAGUGCCGUCGUCAGUUAAAUACACUAGAUCGGCGCUCCAGAGCACAUUGCAGCUUAUGGGAUGCAAGGCGCGUCCUGCUUUCAAGGUGAUUUUCUAGGUUUUUGAGUUUUUUUUUUCACGCAGUCAGCUAGAAUUAGUUACACUUUUACCACACUAUAUAUUUUUUUUCCAGAUCACUCGAAGAGUAUUUGAGAUUAUGAAAAUUGAAACUUCUUUUGUCAGUGCUUCUCAUCUGAAAAUUGAAAAUUCUACAUGGUUUGAUCAAUACAACAGAAGUGAUACUGUCUACAUCCCUAGAGAGAAUUUUCUAAAUAUUGUCUGUCAAACUCUUGCCCAAUAUAACUACGUGGGACCAAAACAAAGGGAAGAUGUUGCUCUGGCUUGCAGGUUUAAUUACUCUUCAUUCUCGAUACAGUUCUUGCUUAUGUUUGUAGUCUGUAGAUGAUAUCAAAUAUUUUCCUCUUUAUUUUUUCUCCAGAAUAAGAGAACGAAAAGAAUCCGUUACAAUUCUCCUCUGUGGAACCAGUGGUUGUGGCAAAUCUACUUUAUCUUCAUUGCUGGUAUGGUACUUGCUGCUUAAUUUUUCUCCAUGCACAUUAUUCUCAACUCGUGUAUCUAUUGAACAGGGAAGCAGAUUGGGGGUGACAACUGUGGUUUCUACCGACUCAAUACGACACAUGAUGCGAAGUUUUGAUGAUGAAAAGCAAAAUGAUCUCCUCUGGUCUUCUACGUAUCAUGCUGGAGAACACCUGGACCCAGUGGCCAUGGCAAAUGCAAAGGCUAGACGCAGAGCAAAUAAACUAUCUAAAGAGCCAGAAUACAGUGUUUAUCCGGAUAAUAAAGCCCCUGAAACAGGGUUGGACGGUGAUUAUUCUAUCGGAGAAAAGCAGAUGGCUAUCGAGGGCUUCAAAGCACAAAGUGAAAUGGUAAUUGAGAAUCUGGAUCGACUCAUCACUGCAUGGGAAGAAAGAAAGGAGUCUGUUGUCGUUGAAGGAGUUCACCUGAGCUUAAAUUUCGUGGUAUGUAUGUAUGUACUUUCUCCACAAUAUCUCUUUCACUUUAAUAUUCCUUCAAGGCUUGAACAAUCUUGGUAGUUUUGGCGUUCAGAUGGGUCUGAUGAGAAAACACCCUUCAAUAAUACCAGUCAUGGUUUACAUAUCAAACGAAGAAAAACACAUGGAAAGAUUCGCUGUACGUGCCAAGUACAUGACAUUGGAUCCGUCGAAAAACAAAUAUGUCAAGUACAUCCGUAAUAUCAGAGCUAUUCAGGAGUAUCUAUGUAACCGAGCAGAUAAGCAUCUUGUACCCAAAGUAAACAACACUAACGUCGAUAAAAGUGUAGCAGCAAUCCACGCCACUGUGUUCAGCUGCCUAAGACGGCGAGGAUCAGGGGAGUGUCUUUAUGACCCAAUAACAAACACAGUCCCUUUGAUAGACGAAGAGUACAGAAACCAACGUGCUGCCAAUUCAUUGUCUUCCAAUGGAAUGUUUCAAUUAAUCCAGCGAAAGGAUUCUAGACGUCUGAUGGCACUUGUAAACACAGACGGGUCUGUUGCGAAAACAUGGCCGGUAAGUCCCAGUGCCAACAGUAACGUAGGCAGUCAGAUUGGGAAAUCGGAACCUGUUAAUCUUCAAUUUGGUAGUUUUGGAAUUAGUGCCUGGCCUAAUGAAACCUGUAGCACCAGUUAUUCUGGAAGCAUUGAUGAUUCUGUAAUGGGGAGCCGACACUAUUUUUCCCGUUGCAGUUCACCAGUGAUAUCAGAAGGACCUUCAAAGGAGGUAUUUUUUUAUAUUGAUGGUGUGAUUUGAAUAUUGGAGAAUGGUCCCAUUGAUUUUUUUUUGGUAGCUUAAAGAGGAAUCGUCUGUGGCUGACAGCGAGGAAGAAACAGAUUUUUCCAUGGACAUUAGUACUAGUGACAUAGAUGAUAACAUGGAAAUCACUGAAGAGGUAGUAAUUAUAAAUUAUUUAUCUUUUUCCAAUCACCUUGUUUUAUAUUCCGGCUUAAUCCAUCAGAUUGAAGGAUCAGUUAAAGAUGAAUCAUCGACAGAGUGGUCAGACGAAGAAUACAGAGAUCUUGACAUGGUUGAUGAUUUAGAAAUGCCAAGGCAAGACUGCAAAAUGAUAAUCUUUGUAAAUAAUGCUGUUCUAUCUAAACCCUACCUAAACCCAUGAUCUGCAUUUGUGCAAUUUUUACAGGCAUACUUGUUACCCAUUCCCACAACCAGACAGACUGAAGAUCGGAGCAAUCUACGAAACUAGAAAUUAGAAUAAGUAAUCUCAAUCUUUGUCAUAAAAAAAUCAAUCAGCUUAUUAAGCUUUUUAUUAUAGUCGAUAUUGAAGUAAAGGUCCCGAAUCCACAGCAGAUUGCUCCCAGAACAGAGAUGCAUGAGCAGAGCAAAACCUCAUACCGAGACGCUCCUCCCUUUACGAUCCUUAAGAAGCACACACAUGGAAGUAUGAAGCUCUGCAACCAAAGAGAAGGGGGGGGAAAAACAGAAUCCAUUCAUUAAAUUUUAUUCAUACAAAUGAAUGAAUCAAAGAAUGAAUGAGUAAAGUUACCACAAUCAUUGUAAAAAACGAUCCAAUGAAUGACAUCACCAAACCUGAAUAGAACAAACAGUAUCAUUCAGAAUUUCAGAUUGAGUGAGAGAGAAAUGACGCCAUGAUGGUGAAAAAUAUAGUAAAAGGGCAAAAACAUACCGAAAAAGGGAACGGAAAGCGCAACUACUAGAGCGGAGACUGUGAGUAUCGAUCUUAUGAUGAUUGCGUAGAUAUGAGAUUUAGCGUAGCUUGAUGGUAUGAGUUCCUCCAAACUCAGAGCCAGUGGUGUCAGCGUGAGUGCAAAUUUCGUAAUUGGGUUCACUACCGUAGUCCAAAUUGCGAUCUUCGACGCAAGAAGCUCGUGCGGAAGGUUCAGAGUGAACUGUGAUUCCGUCGAUUCACCGAACAUCGAAUACCCAAGAACGCCAGCUCCUGCGAACAGCACCGUGCAGAUUGCGAAGCAUGUGAAAAGAACAGAAGGGAACUGCCCAGGUUUCUUCAAUGAAGUGUAAAUGUUCGGGAACACCGCAUGGCCAGAGUAGCAGUAUCCAUACAGACCCACUGCUAUAGGGAGUGUCGGAAGAUUCAGUUGACUCCCGGCACUGUGAAACCCAACCUUGUCUACCACUCCAACCCACAACAAACACAAUACAACCAAGAUUGAUGCCACCACACCACACCCGGAGAAGUAACUAAGGAGGCUUAAAUCCCGGAGCCAAGUUGUUGGGAGGACUACCAAAGUUGUCAGUAUGGCAAAGACUACCUUGGAGUUUAUGUAUAAUCCCAGAAUGUUCAGCUCUGCUCCAGGAAACAGGGAGGAAAGGUUAUCACUCUCCAAGAUUAUGUACUCCACACAACACGCGUACAGCUCUAGGUAGAGGAUCACGGAUACUAGAAACCGUCCGAUGGUGCCGAAGGCAGCCUGCCCGACGUCGGGAUAUGUCUGGAGACCAGGUGAGCUGUCGAGACAUUUUCGGAGCAAAAUGCCGGUGUACCAGGCGAUCAUUGCGAACAUGAACAUAAUUACCAAUCCUCCCCAUCCACCUUCUCUGAUAGCAUAUGGUGUUGAUAGAAUCCCCACUCCAGUCAGAACAUUGAUUCCUGCAGAUAUAAAACCAGCAUUGAAACGACGUCAAUCGCCAUUCAAAAUGUAAACUACAGUUAAAUAAAUUAAAUACAUACCAUUGAGAGCAGCUUGGACGUAAGAGCAGUCACCGGACGCGGUGGUAGAUCCACCAUGGUAGUCAUGAGUUACUGUAGUCGUCGUUUUCUCACUUGAAGACCCUCUUGGCGGAAACAGACCACCGUGAGAGCUCUUCCGUUUCUCCUCUGCAACUAUCUCAUGUUUCUGGAUUUGAUCCUCUUGCGAAUGGGUUUUUUGCAGGAAUGGUCUGACGUGAUCCGGCACACGCUUGUCGUGAAACGAAGACGAGAGGAACGAGCCACUCAGUCUGCUUAGCGUGGACGUUCCUAGAAACCCAAUGCUCUUUGGGGUGACACUUGUGUACAUGUCUAUUGAUUGUCUUGAAACGAACAAAAAACCAAUGAACGUGAACAUAUAGAUGAAUAAGAAGAUCCGAGAAAAAAAUCGGAGAAGAAGAAAAACCUGUAACUUUGCGGCCAUGAAGUGGUGUAGGAACCGGGUCUGCUCCCAUCGUGAACACUAUCAUGACUGUCGUUCGAAAUGGUCUCUGACAAGUCCGAGUCGUACACAUCUCCUCCGCCUUCUUCCUCGACAUCGAUCUCGAUCUCGUCGUCGGUGUCUCCGAUGUAGAGGUUUCUUUCCGGCAGGGAGUGAGCCAUUUUGAAUUAUCAAUCGACGGUUCUGUCUGGUUGGCUAUAUACCAAAAAUUCCUGUAUGUAUGGGAAGUUAAUCGAUCUGUUUUUAUUUAUAGAAGACGAUGAGUCAGAAACAGCUAAUCGAAUGAGAGAUUUUACGAUAAAUCCAGAAGUGGUCACAUGGAUCAUAGAUGUGGAUCGGGGCAAUUCGUUGACGAAUCAGAAAUGGUCACAUGGAUCAUAGAUGUGGAUCGGGGUAAUUUAUUAACGGAUCUUAUAUGGAUCUAAAAGGAAUCAAAAUUAGACGGUUCCAAAGUCGAAAACGUGGACGAAUAGUUUUAAUUUGGAAUGUGGUCUAUGUCGUACGUACAGAAAUCGACAAAUAUUUUCGAAACAAUACAUUCAUUCCACUGAUUCCAGCAUUAUUGCAGUUAAUAUCGACGUCAUCCAGACAAAAUAAGGACAACUUACAAACGACAAAAAAUAGUCGUUUUCAGAAAAAUUCCAGAUCAUUAAAUGAAAAUUGUACCGUAGAUAGGUUAUAUUAUGUAAACCUAAUCAUUUAAGCUUCUUCCGGGAUGAUCGAUGAUCGCUACACUUCUAAUUCCUUGAAUUUUGAUGAAGAAAAAAGGAUUUCAAUAUCAGUAAUUAUUUGCAUUUCAAAUGAGAGACCGAUUGAGCUCCUCCGACGAUAUUGGACAAAUGUUUUAAUAUUCAUACACAAUGAGAAGAUAACAAAUAUGAACAAAAUAGAAAAUAUAUCAUUUUCUUAAUUCUCGAUAUCAAUCAUAUAUUCUUUCACUGACCAGCGGCGCCAAUCACGUUGGCCUUCGACCCCGAAUGCAAAGGUUGAACCGAUUGUGCACCUGAUGAUCGAAACUUCUGCCAGCUUGGUCAAGUCCAGUAAGAAGCAUGGCAGCAAGAUCCUUGGGGACAUUUUCCUCUUCUUGUUUGAGCUUUUUUUACUCUCAUUUGAUUUAGCGGUAUGGUUCAAAUCAGGGAGUGGGAUGGGCUUAUUUUUAUGGACUCCUUUUGUUGGGAUCCGUUGCUAAGCUGGAGCAGUAUAAGAAUUCUAAUUGGAUUUAUAGUCCAAUAUAAUUUUGGAACUAAUUGGUUUAGAGUUUAGAUAAUGACAGGAAUUAAUAAUGUAAAUUGCACAAGAGUCUAUUUUGUCGGGCCUUGAAUGAUCAGGUGAGCAGUACACUUGAUUAAUCAUAUGAAACAUAAAAGGAAUCUUUCUAGGCCUCCAAAAUAGUAUUUGGGCCUUGUUUUGGUGAGGCAGAGAGAUUUCGAUGUUCAUUUUCAUUAACCUCAUUUUGUCAUUUUGAUUUCACCAAAUAUAUAUUCCCUCUAUUAAAAAUACGUGUGUUUGUAGCUGAAGUGCUGAUUGUGCUGAUUGUGCUGAAGCAACAAAGUUAAAAGAUAUUUUUGAUGAUAUUUAUUCCUUGAAAUCAUGUAUUGUCAAUUUUUGAUAAUGAAAAAAGACCCACCAAAGUGACCAAACUGACCAGGGAUGUGAAUAAAGUGAUGGUCUGCCAUAACUCUACCACACCAUCUCUGUGACUCUGCUGAAUCUGCUCUGUUAUAAAAUCAGAGGAAUCUCACAUCAUCUCACAUCUACCCAUCCAUCCGUGUGCAGACCAAAAAACUCCAACCGCAAUAUUAAUUAAUCAACCAGUUCCAUCCUUGUUCCCAAACCCAACUCAGGGAACCUGUGACGAGAUUGGAGCUAAAUUCCAGGAAGAUUAAAGACGAUCGAUUGUGGUCGGUUUCAUAUAUGGCAACGGCAACGGCAACGGAGAGAAAAGUUAGUUUUUGCAGAAAGCAUUUGCAAGACCCAUGUCGGACAUUGAGCAUAAGGUGCAAGUUUAUGGUGAGGGAGCAAAGAGCACGGUUCUACAUAAUUCGCCGAUGUGUUAUAAUGCUCGUAUGUUGGAGAGACUCCACUGAUUUGUGAUACUAUCUAUCAUCCCAUCUUUUCCAAUAGAUCGAUUUCUAGUUAUAUAUAUGAUGGAAUAAGCUAGCUAGAUGCCUAGAUGGCGAUGAACCAUGAUAUACAUAAAUAAUUAAAUAGCUUUUCUCAUAAUAUGAGAUUUAUGCAUAAUACACAUGUAGAUUAUAUAGAAUAGUCAGAAUUUGAGCGAGAUUUAAUAUUGUCUCUUGCUAUUUUUUUUCAGCUCAGAAUAAGAAAUAGAUCUACAUUUUUUUUAUACAUACAUUUAUAGAGAUAUCAAUAUUACAUAAUUACAUAAAUAUAUAAUAUAUCAUCGGAUAAAUUUAAAUAAAAAUAUAAAAAGUAAGAUUCGAAUCUAGUCUAAAGACUUCAUAAACUUUAAUAGUUUCUUGAAACCAAUGAGUCAAUCUUACAAAAUAGAUCUCCAUAACGUUUUCAAAUGAUUAUGACUAUCUUUUGAUAAGUAAAUUAAAUUAAAAUGUAAACACUCGAAUCUUAAUAGUGUAUACAAUCGAUUAGGCUAAUAGUGCAUCACUCUCUUUCUACUUGGUGGUUACUAUAGAAUGUAGGGAAAGAAAUAAAAACAUUAGCCUUAUUUUUUAAUGAAAUUUAAUUAUUUAAAAAAAAAAAAAAAAAAACACACACACACACAAAUUGUGUAAGUAUGACUGUUUCUAUCGAAAUUCCAAACCAUGUGCAUAGAUGCCAUGCUAGUAUGCUACUAUGAUGUGCACACAAUAGGGUUGGUGACCUGUCUAACUGUUUCGUUGACACUUGGCACAGUGCCUUAUCUAUUUUGAUAAAUUAAAUUACUUGGUGUAUUGAUGAAAUUUAUAAAUACUGUUGCAGAGCUAAUGAUCUACUUAUUUAAUUUACUUAGUUGGUUAAUAAAUUAAUUAGAAAAUAGAUAAGGAUAUAAUUCCAAGUACGGUACUGUACAAGCAGCACCAGCCAGCAAACAAACAGAAACUUAUCACGCCCAAAAUCGUACUGCCACAGUGAGAUUCUCCUUUAUCUGAUAUUGGCUGUUCACGCCCACCCACACGUGCCUUCGUUUUGUCAGUGGUUUGCCAACUCAUUUCACUCGUCUUCCUCUUUUUUGUAACACCGUUGGUUUCUACUAUGGUGUCAUAAGCCAAAGCGCUGGUUCGGUUCUAAUUUAACCGAGUUAAACUUGACACCAUAGCAAAUUAAUCAUCAUCAUCCGCGAAGUCACCAGGCAAUGAUGAAGCUCCUCUACUUACUCCGGCAAAGAAAGGAUUCAUAAUUUUUGAAUGUCAUCCAUCAUACAUUGUCGAUUAAUGGUGUGUUCUUGAAGAAGGUGAGAGAUCGGAGGUGUGUGUGUGCGAGAGCAGUUAGGGUUCGGAGUCGAGGGGUCGCCGGAUGGGAGCUUGAGACGUUUGGAACCCUAAUAGGGUUUUGUAUUUUGAUAUUUGAAAAAGUUGAAGUAAAAGUUAUUACAAGAACUAUUUAUAUCAUGACCUAAGCUUAAUGGGCCAACAUUGGUUGGGUCUGGUUAUAUCUAAAUAUUAUUUAAUCUAAAAGCAUUAAUCUAAUUACUUAAUCUUAAUACCCCCCCUCAAGCUGGAGAGUGUAUGUCAUAGAGUCCCAGCUUGGGCAGCAGAUUUCUUAGAGCUUCAAGACUUGCCGGCUUUGUUAAUAUAUCUGCAAUUUGAGAUGUUGAUGAAACAUGCUGUAGUUUAAAUAGUCCAGCUUGUAAAUGAUCACGAAUUAGAUGACAGUCAAUCUCUAUGUGCUUUGUGCGUUCAUGAAAAACUGGGUUUGUUGCAAUGUGAAUUGCUGCCAUAUUAUCACAAUGUAGUGUUGUCUGUCUUGAUGGUUUUACCUGCAGAUCAUUCAAAAAAUAAUGCAACCACAUAAUUUCACAAACAGUUGAUGCCAUAGCCAUGUAUUCACUCUCAGCAGAUGAUCUACUGAUAGUUGUUUGUUUUUUUGAUUUCCAGGCUAUAGCAGAUCCACCUAAUAAGAUUGUGUAGCCUGUUAUUGACCUUCUUGUGUUGGGGCAGUCUGCCCAAUCUGCAUCACAGUAGGCCUCUAGUUGUAGAGGUGCAUCUCUUCUGUAUAAGAUACCUUUCCCUGGUGCACCUUUGAUAUAUUUCAGUAUUUUGAUUGCUGAGUUAAAAUGUGAUUGUUUAGGUGCUGCCAAGAAUUGGCUAUGAUGACUAACUGAAAAAGCUAUAUCAGGCCUUGUGAUUGUCAAAUAUAACAAUUUCCCAAUUAGCUUCCUGUAAAUUGAAGGAUCCUUUAAUGGGGCAUCCCUCUCAGGAUUUUUGUAGUUGUGGGACAUUGGAAUUUUAGAUGGAGAAGAUCCCAAUUGUCCAAAAUCAUGUAGUAUAUCAAGGGCAUAUUUCCUUUGUGACAGGAAUAUACCUUGGUUUGAUUGGGAUACCUCAAUUCCUAGAAAGUAUUUGAGUUUACCCAAAUCCUUUAUAUGGAAUUGGAGAUGUAGGUAUUCCUUUAGUUUUUGAAUUUCAGCUUCAUUAUCACCUGAUAUAAUUAGAUCAUCCACAUAAAUAAGUAGACAAGUGUAUGAAUUUGUAGAUGACUUAAAGAAUAAUGUGUAGUCAGAGUGAGAUUGAGUGUACCCAAACUUAGUCAGUGCUGAGGUGAGUUUUUCAUACCAAUUCCUGUUUGCCUGUUUCAGGUCAUAUAAAGACUUCUUUAGUUUGCAUACCCUGGUGUCACCUGGGGGUAGCAUUCCUGGAGGUGGAGACAUAAAUAUUUCUUCAGAUAAUUCACCAUGUAAGAAGGCAUUACUUACAUCCAUCUGAUAUGUAGACCAGUUUUUGGUUGAGGCUACUGCCAGCAGUGUCCUAACAGAGAUGAUCUUUGCCACUGGUGAAAAGGUUUCCUUGUAAUCAAAGCCUUCUAUUUGAGUGUGCCCUUUUGCUACAAGCCUGGCUUUUAACCUUUCAAUUUGGCCAUCAGACUUGUGUUUGACUUUAUAUACCCACCUAGAUCCUACUAUUUUCCUUUCUUUUGGCCUUGGUACCAUUUCCCAAGUGUCAUUUAAUUCAAGAGCUGCAAGUUCAUCAUUCAUGGCUUUUACCCAUUCCUGACUUUGACUUGCUUGAUUGAAGGAUGUUGGUUCAGUUGUGAUAGAAAUUUUGUCUAAAUAAUCAGUGUGAGAGGUAGACAAUCUUUUGUAUGUUAAGUAAUCAUGCAUUGGAAAAGAUGUGCCUGUAGAUUUUCCUGUGCUUGUGGCAAAUGAACAGAAAUAAUCAUUUAAUUUAGUUGGUGGUUUUCUCUGUCUACUUGGAUAUCUUUGGUUCUGUGUUUGAUUUUUUUCUGAAUUUUGGAGUAUUGUUGGUACAUCAUUCACCUCUGUUAGAUCUGAGUGUUCAGUAUUUGAUGUUGUUGAAUUUGUGUUAGACUCAUCUGAGAUUGAGUCGAUUUGGUCUGUCUCAGAGAGAUCAGUGUCAUUCAAUUGACCUUUGCUUUGGUUUUUGUUUGUUAUUUGAUCAUUUGAUUUGUUUUCAGAUGUAUCAAUUUUCUUAUCUAAAGGAAACCUAUCUUCAUAAAAGAUCACAUCUCUACUUAUUGAGAUGUGAUGGGUGUCUAACUCAUAUAUGAUAGAACCCUUUUGGGUUGAGGAUUUCCCUAAGUAUAUGCACUUUCUUGCUCUGGGGGAGAACUUGUCUUCUUUUACAAGACAAGUUGCAUAACAUAGGCAACCAAAGGUCCUCAGACCUUCAUAGUCAGGUUGCUUGGAGUGCAUGAGCUCAUAAGGAGAUUUAUCUUCAGUCACCCUGGAUGGUAACAUAUUGAUAAUGUGGGUGGCCUGAAUUAUUGAGUAUCCCCAUAACUCAAUUGGUAUUGAGGAUUGAAGCUUUAAGGAUCUAGCUACAUUCAAGAGGUGUUGGUGUUUCCUCUCAACCACACC
rnacentral:lncRNA from 1 species